UUUUUUUUUUUUGUAUGUACCUUUUCUAUCUGCAUUCGCCACUCUCCUCUCAAGCCGUCAAAUGACAAGUUUAAAUAGGGUAAGGAAUUGCUGCCUGCGUCACGUACCAUCCACGUUUAUGUGCGACGGUGGUUGGGUAAUGAACGCAUCACCGCGAGAUUUGACAGCCCUGUCAACGCUACGAUCCAGUGGCAAGACAUCAAAUACUUGCUGCAUGCCUGCAUCAGUGGCUAGUGGUCCAUUUGCGCCACGUCAACGCGGUCUUCUCAUUUAUUUUGGAGUUGUACAAUACACGAGUUAGGGAUGUUUGUUUCUUUAAGUGACUCCCUAAAAUUCCUAUCAUAUUGAAUCGAAUGUUUAGAUACUAAUUAGAAAUUCCUAUCAUAUCGAAUCGAAUGUUUAGAUACUAAUUAGAAGUAUUAAGUAUAGACUAAUUAAAAAAUCAAUUGCACAGAUGAUGAAGACUAAUUUGUGAGACAAAUCGAUUAAACCUAAUUAGUCCAUGAUUAAUUAGUCCAUGAUUUGACAAUAUUAUGCUACAGUAAACAUGUGCUAAUGAUGGAUUAAUUAGGCUUAAUAGAUUCGUCUCGUGAAUUAGCCUCCAUCUGUGUAAUUAGUUUUAUAAUUAGCUCAUAUUUAAUCCUCGAAUAUUCGAUGUGACAUGAAUUUUAGUCUGGACUAAAGAUCCAAACACGGGUUAAGGAGCAGCAACAUUAUGCCCACUCCUGGGGAAUAUACAAGGUCUACAGCACACAAGUGUAAACAGCAAUUCGAAAACAAAGAGCCCCAUACUGCUCCAAACAAAAAGGGUCCAUCUCCAGUUCCAGAGUAAUCUCUUGAGAAGAGGGAGUUCAGCCUCAAGCUUCAGUGAUGCAGCAUAGAUCUCCGGGAUGCCCGCACCAGGACCAAACUCUGCUCUUUGUCCUAGGAUUAUCCUGACUCCCGUUGUUGGUUCCAAACCCUCAGUGAUACCCCUCAUUUUUAGUCUAAUAACCUGGGAUUCCGAGGAAUAGCCAGACAAGAGGGAGACGCUUCGGAGAAAUGUCUCUAUGAAGUGCAUGUGAGCGCUCUUGAACUUAAGCAUGCAUGGUUGACUUGAAGUUGAGAUCACUUUGCCAUCUGCAGAUAGGAACUCUGCCUUUACCUGAGCACAAUGGAAGAAAUGCAUGAGGUUGAAAUCAUUGUCAGUUUAAACAAUGGAAACCCGAACAUGAUGUGUCCAGUUCAAAAUGCAGGCCAAGGGACUGUAACGAAACACAAAUCCUUCCACUCCACCACCACCACCAACAACAACAACAUAGCCUUUUAGUCCCAAGCAAGUUGGGGUAGGCUAGAGUUGAAACCCAACAAGAGCCACAAAUCAAGGUUCAGGCACAUGAAUAGCUGUUUUCAAAACACUCCUAUCCAGGGCUAAAUCUUUGGGUAUAUUCCAUCCCUUCAAAUCUCCUUUUAUUGCCUCUUCCCAUGUCAAUUUUGGUCUUCCUCUGCCUCUUUUCAUAUUACUGUCACGCCUUAGGGUUCCACUACGCACCGGUACCUCCGGAGGCCUUCGUUGGACAUGUCCAAACCAUCUCAACCGUUGUUGAAUAAGCUUUUCUUUUAAUCCUUCCACUCCACCAAUAUCUUUUAAUCAGGAAUUUCAAUAGAACGCCUCAAUGCAGAACAGAGGUCAUCAAGCAUACUUCUCCUAUGUUGUUAACGUCAAUUCAUCUACAAUGCUUCAAUUGGAUAUUCUUUUCUUAACAGUUAAACAUUGUCUUCAAAGAGAUGAGUAUGUAGAAUGCAAAACCCAACUCCGUAUGACCUGUUGCAAUGCAAACCCAGCAUAAUGUGUCCAGUUCAAAAUGCAGGCCAAACCACAAAACAAAGUACGAACCAUUCCACUCCCGGUAUCCUAUAAUCAGAUAUUUAAAUAGAACCUCUAAAUGCAGAACAGAGGUUAAAUCAUUAUCUUAUCAUGAAGUCUAUGCAAAUAGAAGAUGCAAUGCAGAAGCAUACCUCAACCUACAUAGUUAGCAUUAAUUCAUCUAAAAAGCUUCAAUUGGAUAUCAUUCUUUUCUUAACAGCUAACGAAUGUCUUCAAAUAGACUCGUAUGUAGAAUGCAAACUCCAAUUCAGCGUGACCUGUUCAAAAUGCAGGUCACGAAAAGCAGAAAAGAACAGAGACCCUUCUAAUCUAGGUAUCUUCUCAAAUGUUUUUGCAGAACCUCUCAAAGCACAACAGAGUUCACUAUUGUUAUCUUUUUCAUUAGUCAAGUAUGCAGCUAUGAGACGAAAUGCAGAAACAUGAUUCAGACAACAUUAUUGCCACCAAUUCAUUCACAGAGCUCCAAUUAGAUGCAAUUCUUUUUCUCAGUAGCCAAUGGACAUAGUGUAACCAGGGGAGAAAUUUAUAGAUGGGUGCAUACAACGCAAUACCCAGCACUACCAUUGAAAAUGCAUGUCAGCGCUGUUGAAAACAUAACACAGACCCUUCUAAAGCUGGUGCCCUUUUAUCAAACAUUUAAACCCCUCAAUGAAUGAUAUAAUACACAAAUGUAUCUUAUCAUUAGUCAAGUAUAUUAUGCAACUAUGAGAUAAAAUGCGGAAACAUGCUUGUCUACACACAUAAAUUCAUUUAUAAAAUUUCAUUCAGAUGGCAUUCUUUUCUCUGUAGCAAAUGAAUACUUUCAAAGGGAAACAUCAUGCAAAGCUGCUUUUCACAAGAACCCAUAGCAAAUAUACCUGGAAAACACCAAGCCUCCGGUUGUAAUCGGAUUCUGGCAGCGUCAGCGAUACCUCAAGCUGCAUUCGCUGAUUCGGAGGCACCAAUCUCGGCACCGGCACAAACGCCACCGGGCUAGGCUUGGUGUAAUCGAAAUUCAGGGUCUCGGUCACCUGAACAGGCUUCUCCACAAUUCUUCCCACCAAGAGGCCCCCUCCCAGGAAUGCCAUAACCAGCAGUGCACACAGAACCACACAGACGUACGCAGCCCAGAGCGACCCCCACACCAGCCUCUGCGCCACCUUCCCCACGCCCUCCCCACCUCCAAACCGCGCGGUCAGAGCGCCCACAGCGUCGCCAGCCACACCGAGCGCCCACGCCCUCGCGCGCCGGGCCAGUCCGAGCGGAUCGGUCACGAAGAGGAACCACCAUUGCAGCAGCCGGACCGGGAACGCGAGGCAACUGAUGAGCGCGCUGACCUGGAAGACCACCGCUUUAAUGACGAGCACGGCGAGAUACUCGAGAAUGCUCGGGGCCGGCGAAGGAGCACGCGCCUCCGCCUCAACAUCAGCACCAUUGGCCUUCUCGUGCGCUUCAUCCUCCUCCUCUUCCUCGUCGGGGGGUGGGUCAGUGCGGGGGGCGGCGCUGGUGGCCUCGGAUGCGUCGGGCUUUACAGGCUCGUCUUCGACGGCAGUGACGGUGGAGGCGGCCGCGGAGGCCGAGGGAGAAGGGGAGAGGACGGGGUAGGGCUGCUUUAGAAUUUUCGCGCUUCGCGGGCGGCGGCGGAGCGUGGAGGAGGAGGGGGUGUGGGGAGGGGAAGGGGAAAAGGAAGGGGAGGGGAGCGAGUCAACCGCGUCGAAAAAGGUGUCGUCGGAGGCGGGUGAGGAGGAGGAGGCAGUGGCGGCGGAGGGGUCGCCGUCGUCCAUCGGCGGGUGAUCGGUGGGACGGGUGGCCAUGGUGGUACGGGAUUGGGGAAACGAAGGAGAGAUUCGUGGGGACUGGAAGGGGGAGGAAUCGUUGCCGGUGGCGGUGGGAGAAGAUGGGCGAGUAUUUUCGUUUACCACCUCGCUAUUUCAAGUUAUUUGUUUCUUCUUCUUUUCUGAAAUAUAGUAUCUGGUUUUCCCAAAAAAAAAACAGAUAUCUACUUUUCUAAAUUUAAAUUGGUAAAUUUGGUAAAAUACUUAAAUAAUACUACUAUGGACUAGUAGAGAGUUAGGGGAUCCCUUUAUUUCACUGAAAAUGAAAUUGCUAAGUUUAGCAUGGUUUACACAACUCGUGAGCAAACUAUGUGUUCACGACAAAAUGCUAUAUGAUGUAAACUAAAUUUUUUUGUGUUAAAAGCGUUUUCGAUGCUGCAAUUCGACAGGAGGGGCUUAGCCCACUGUUUUCAUUAUAUAAUUGGAUGUUGCAUUGUUAAGAACUUAAGACCAUAUGCCCUCAAAAAAAAGAACUUAAGACCAUAUAAGACUUGUUUAAAUCCAUAGCACUUUUAAAUCUUAGAGAUAGAGAAUGUAGAUAUUUCCACUAAAUAGUCACAAAAGCAACAAGUGGAACCAAAGCAAAACAAUGAGAGUUCAUCCAAUUUUUGAGAAUCACCAGGCAAUGCUUUGCAUCAGGCCGCAUAGGACUCCGAGAUGCAUAAGAUCUCGUACCAGCUUUUCCAGAGAAGAAUGACAUGUGCCUAUACUCCUUCCAAAAAUCCCCUCUGCAAUGCCACAAAAACUACUAACGGAAGAAGACGUUGGAGAAGAGAAACAGGGCCAUCCAAAAAUCCACGUGUUGGGCUAGCUCAUUGCCGGCACGCCACCUCGGUCCUCUCGCCGCUCCGCGUGUCCUCAUGUCAUGCACGUCAGGGCCUGUUUGGUUUCGGAUCUAGCUCCAGGCGCUCGAAAUACGUUGAACGUAUGGGAGCGCUGCCUGGUUUGCCAGGACCGCAUCUAAAGAAGCCCUCAAGAACUGCAAUUAUGCGAAAUUGAGCCCACAGUCUCAUGGGCUUGCCCAUCAAGACGUUCUCCAGCAGUCCAGCUCAUCUGUGGUUGUUGGAUUUAGCCCGUGUGGAGAGUCAGACACCAAUACCAGGCCAAUUUCACACCCAUGAGGCCCUUGAAAACGAGUGGCGAUGCUGAUUUGAUGCUUUGGCGAUGCAAUAGUAGCCACUUGAAGCAUGUUCUCCCCCUCAAAAAAAAAAAACUUGAAGCGUGUUCUGUAAUUGAAAUAGUUGGUUCAGGAUGUAUUGUAUGCUGUGUCUAGCUAGGCCCAUAUGGAUCCCUCUGAAUUUUGUAACAGCUAGCUGAUGCUCGAGGCAUUCAGAAACCAAGCUGAUGAGCAGACGAAUGGCAACCGGGCAACCACGCAAACGGAUGCUACGGAGUUCGACGGUGCUGCUAGUGUUUUUCCUUGGCAGAACAUAUCACAACACAGAUAAUUUUUAGGAUGUUGUUUGCCGGUUCGGGAGAGGAACCACUCUCCUACUCCAGAGCCGCUUCUUCUGUAUCUUCAGAGCCUAGUGACAUUGGGAGGCGAUCGGGUUCAUCUGUGCCAGAAACAUAAAAACGAUGCACACUGAUACUAAGGCCCUAAGACAAAAGACCGUUCCACACAAAUUCUCACGGAUCUUCUUUGAGUAAUCCAUUUAUCUUAGCUUGAUGACGAUCUCAGAAGCUCUAUAGCUUUUGUAAUUUAGCACCCAAUUAUAUCACCUUGUCCCAAGAGGAAUAGACGCGGCUCUGUUUGUUUGAGUUUCAUAGUAGGUUCUCGGUGUGAAAAGUCAGAAACUCGUGCAGCUUUCGAAAAGUCAUUAGCUUGGAAAAGCUGAGUUCAUAUGAGAAGCGGAAAAGUCCAGUUUUCCGAGCUUUUCAUAACUUUUUUAGCCCAGAAAGCUAAACACAUCUUCUAAAUGCUAGUGCUGACUUUUCAGAAAUAAAAAGCUAGCAGCAGCUUUUCAAAAACCCUCAAAAGAUGCAGCUCAAACAAACAGACCCUGAUGUUCAUCACAGUUUCUUAUGGUUAGCCACUUCAUCUAGUGGAACUACAAUUGGUUAUAUGAAAAAAAGAGAAAAGUUUGGAGGUAAUUUGCCAUAGAAGGUACCACAUGUAUAGCUACCAUUUUAUCUGAGAGGGAAAAGGAAAAAUGAAUGGUUACUAGGAGCAAAAUUGCUAUGAAAAACCCUAAAAAACAAGAAUUAGCUAUGUGAAAAGGAAGGAUAUAAUAAUCUAGACAUAUAAGUACUAUUCUUAAUUUCAUGACAAUCAUUGUCUUUCCACUUGCGCCAUCUAUUUUGAGACUAACUUUGGGUGUUCUAUAUUUAUCUAUGAUGGUGUGUUUGUAUUGAUUCCGUGGCUGGCUAGGCUAAGCUCAAGAGCGGGGCAACUUUGGCGUGAGCUUCUACGAAAAACUACAAAUGAGUUGCCUAAUAAUUUGUGGCAUGUCGAAACUUCAUCAGGAACCAAACAACGACUUAAAAAUGCGAUUCAAACAUUAAACUAUUUCAUGCAAGAAAAAACAAUUAGGAAAUUUUGACCAUUUUAUCUCGAAGGGACAACAAAUGACUACUAGAACUAUCUAUGUGAAAAAAAAAGAGGAAAAGUUCGCGCAUGCCAUAGAGGGUAAAAACCACGUGACAAGGAAUCUUAACCUCGCUCCUUUUUGUCGCUACCAUUUUAUCUAGAAGGAAACAAUGAUUCGUUACUAGAAUUGGCUUUGUGAAGAAAAGACAAUAAUCUGUAGAUAAGUUGCCGUGCAAGGUAAAACGUGAGUGAAAACAUAAAAAAGAAAACUGGAGGGCCAAAAUCUCCUCCAAUGGCACAGGCCUCACGUUAACCCCGCCUGCCUCUCCAAACGGCAAAUGACCAAAUUACCGACACGGCCAUAACUCCGCCCCGAUCUAUCCGUCGCCCCCACCAAAAACACUCGCGCAGGAAGAGAGAGAGGAAAAAAAUAAGGCAGAAAUAAUAAUAAUAAGAAAACACUCCCGUGUUCUACGACCGCAGGUGGUGGUGGUGCGAACGCGAGGCGCCCGAGGGGGGAGACGCCAUGAGGGGGACGAAGCGGCCGCUCGGCGCGGUGACGUCGUGGGUGCGGCGGCAGCCGCCCAAGGUGAAGGCCUUCCUGGCCGUGGUCGCCGGCAUGGCCGCGCUCGUCUUCAUCCGCUUCAUCGUCCACGACCACGACAACCUCUUCGUCGCCGCCGAGGCCGCGCACGCGCUCGGCAUCGGCGUCCUCAUCUACAAGCUCACCAAGGAGAGGACCUGCGCCGGUUCGUUUCCGCCCGCCCCUUCGGCACCCGUUCCCGAUCUGUCGAGAUCGCCCGGCCCGUGCCAGCGUCGCUAGGGUCUAGGAUUUUGUAGGGUUUGGCCAGUCGAAUUAGCGUUUUAAAAUACGGGGGGUUGGGAACAUGAUUUGCAAUUUUUUUAACGGGGAAUCGGUGGUUUAAUGUAGUGUUCAUCUAGGAGGCGGCAGGUUGGAAUAUUUAUUCGAUCUAUUUGGUGCCUGAAUACCCCUUAGCUUUAAGAUAAGAUUUGUUGAGAGGCUAGACGGAUGUGUAGCACUGUUAUGUUUUGGGGUUCUAAUAAUGAGGGAUUUGGUGCUAAAUUACUGAUUCUGGUAUAUUUUGGAGCUGCAAGUCGUGCUUGAUUACAUUAUGCUUUCAUUUGACCAGGGUAAUUGUAUAGGCUUAUUGGACCCAUUUUGAGGAUGGUGUAGUGUGUGAUGGUGUUAGCUGUUUCAAAAAGUUCAAAGAAAUCGACUGUUGAAUCAGUAUCGUGUACUUUCCAGUUUUGGUCUUUCUGGCACUUUCAGUAUCAAUCUGUUUAUUAGAUUUCCCUCUAGUGAAUUAUGCAUUCUGUUGUCGUAUCCAAUUGGAGGAUCUCUUCAUCCAAUUGUACAGAUUUUAUCUUGUAUGCUGCAGGCAUUUCCAUUUUCUCAUGGAUUUUAUAUGGGUCAGUUGUGUAGCUACUUGGCCUGGUUUAUAAUUUAGAUUUGAAAUUUCCAUUAUCAGAGGUCUACCGAUUUCAUUCAUGUGCGUGAUAUAAACUCGUCUGAGGUGCAGAAUAUUGUGUUUAGCUUGUGAUUCUGUUACUUGGUGGACCAAGUCUUAUGUUGAUCAUUUGUUGCUAGUUGCAACCUUACAAUUUUCCCCCACUUCUAGCUGUGAAAAUUACCCUAAAAUUCACCAUUCAAUUUAUAUGAUUUCUUCAGUAUUGUCCGUUGUAUGUGGGAAGAUGGCCUGCUAAUACUAGUCUGUCAGAAUUUCCCUUUAGCCACUUUUUGAAGAGUCUUAAGAGCCAUUUUCAUCUUGCAGGACUAUCCCUCAAGUCUCAGGAUUUAACUGCGUUGUUUCUAGCUGUUAGACUGUACUGCAGCUUUGUCAUGGAGUAUGACAUCCAUACCGUUCUGGACACUGCCACACUUGUGGCCACACUGUUUGUUAUUUACAUGAUACGGUUCAAACUGAGGUCAACUUAUAUGGUCGACAAGGAUAAUUUUGCAUUGUACUAUGUGGUAAGAAUUCAACUCAUAUCUUGGUAAUUUCUGGGUUUAGAUCAGUAACUGUACUUAGCUAAUGAUUUCAAUUCCUCAUACCCUUCCAUCUUUUAGGUCAUUUGUGAAACGCUUUGACAUUCAUGUCUGUUUUGUUAGUGAUUGGUUUCUGCUGCUUUAUGUACUUUUUUUUUGUUACACGCUUCUGUGGACCAUAUCCGAAUAAACUGGACUAAAGUCAUGUUGUCCUAUCUUGCAUUGCAGUCUAUGGUUGUUUUUUUUACAAUUGAUUUUUCAUGCACCUCACAUAAAUCUAGAACUUUGUUUUACCACCUGGGACAUUUAUCUUUUUUCCCUUCCCUGGGUAUUAAUAGCUCUAUUUUGUUUGUGUGGGUCUUUAUUUUGUUGAGAGCUGCAUCUCCCAAUUUCAUUGUAGCAUCUUUUGAAGUCAUGUAAAGCAAUCAAAUAGACAUUGUGAGUUUAUAUUAUAUUUGGGAUCUGAGGCAGUGCUUAUGAUUCUUCUGCUAACAGAAGGCGUUGAACAUAUAUUGCCUAGUUUUAUUUGAUCUACCACAAUAUUGCACUACAUCUUUGUUUUAUAUAUGCCAUCUUAUUGUGCUUGGGCUUUUUUUUUUCCUUUGAAGGUGUUACCUUGUGCUGGACUGGCACUACUUAUUCAUCCUUCGACAUCUCACAACAUUGUGAACCGGAUCUCCUGGGCGUUUUGUGUUUACUUGGAAGCCGUUUCAGUGCUGCCGCAGUUACGCUUAAUGCAAAACACUAAGGUAAUUUCACCAUCAUGCCCUUGGGUUCCCUUGAUUGCAGGAUAAUAAGCUGACUUCGGUUUACCAUCUUUUGCAGAUUGUUGAACCAUUUACUGCUCACUAUGUAUUUGCACUGGGUGUUGCAAGGUUUCUUAGCUGUGCGCACUGGGUUCUACAGGUUCGUCCUUCUCAAUAAACUCAUGAGCUAAUAAAUAUGCAGCUGUAUGAUUUUGCAGCAGCAUUCAGUUUUCUGUUAUUGUUUUUUAUACCUAGCAGAGAUAUUCUGCAAUGUCUACUGUCAUUCAUAGGUGCGUUAGGACUAUUAUAUUUACUGAUGCUUGUGUUUUUAGGGUCAUUUCUGUUGAAUAAUCAGAUUUCUUGUUUUUUGGGUGGUGAGGGUUAAGCAAAUGAAGCAAAAUCUAGCGUUCACUGUCUUGUGGCUAUUGAAGUUACCCAUAGCCAUUUAAUACAUUCAGAAUUCCAGUUCUCUAGUGUGUUCAUGUUGGUGAAAUGCACUUAAGGCAAAUGGUAUUCAAACCAUGUUCAUCGGAAGCAAAAAAUUCUGUGAUGUAGGUUUUGGACACGCGUGGCCGCCUGUUGACAGCUCUCGGCUAUGGUUUAUGGCCGUCUAUGGUGCUUCUGUCAGAAAUCGUGCAGACAUUCAUCCUUGCAGAUUUCUGCUACUACUAUGUGAAGAGGUACAUACAGUAUGGCUGUUAAGUUUAGUUGAUUGUUAAUUUGGACAUGAUCUAAUAAGUGAAUGUCGUUGUACAGUCUGGUUGGUGGGCAACUGGUGCUACGGCUUCCCUCAGGGGUGGUGUAAGAAGUUCAGCAGGUUACAAAUUCCGCGGUUCACCCAUUCUUAUGUACCCAGAAUAACAGUUAUGCUCUAGCCCCCGACCUGCAUCUCGUGUCUAAUGUGAGACCGGAGCCUCCUUUAGUUGAUGUUGCAAGUUGUGACUAUUUAUGACAGAAUUGCUCCGAGGGUCCUCUUAAAAGAUAGGUUGUCAUUGAGACUGUUUAUAGUGCGCGGGCCCUGAUACCUAGUUCUUAGUUUCUGUAUCACUGUCGUGGUCGUAGAACCAGGUGGUUAAUGGUCUAUUUUGGAUUAUAAUCUUAGCAUGCUUUCUUAUCUUUUAGCCCGCAAAUAAAUUGGGUUGAGCCAUGCAGAACUUGCCAUGUGAGAAUCGUGGGACGAAGGUCAUCAUGUCGUAUUCUCUUGACAUUGGGAUCAUCAGGAGUAGGGAUUCCUUCCUGGCCAUCACUUAAUAUUUCAGUACUACUAACAUUAAUUUUCUAACCGUCUCCUAAUGGUCUAGUUGGAUAUAGGAUGGAUAGCGGUUGCCUCAUGCUUUCUUAGCUUGCAGAGCUCACACCGGUUCCGUUUGCAAUUCCUUGUGUUUGUUGCCCAAACAGACAUAGCAAAGUCCAAAGGCGUCAGGUGUGCAUGAGCAGAAGCCGUGCUCCUCGUGCCGGGACCUCGCGGUCGCGCGGCGCCGUUGGCUGUUGCCCGUCGCGUCCGAAAAGUGAAAAGACGACUGCGAUUUGAAGUUAAAAGUUAAAACUCCUGUAUGACAUGUGGAUGUGGAUGACUCCUCGAACCCUUCCUCUUUACGACUCGGAGCAGGGGAAUGUCGUCGUGAAACCUUUGCCAUCGCCAUCUCUGUCACGGCAAAAGCACGCGCUCUCUCUGGCCUUGGCUGGAAGCUGCUUGCGGUGCGGCUGCCGCCCAACGCCGGAAGCGGCGUGCAGAGCUUCUCUCUCUGCGUGACGUCGUGAAAUCGGUCGCCCAAGGCUUACCGGGUAGAAAAAUCCAAAAUACUAGGAGAGGAAGAGAGAUCCUAUCCAACGAAAGCCAACGCGGCAAGCAAGUCGGUCGGACCCUGCCUGCGGCCCUACGCCCCUUCCGCCCGGCUCACUCUAGCCGCGGCCGGAUACCCAUUCCCAGGCACACCAGCUGCAUCGCACGCCACGGCGUCGCAGCCGCAGGCCAGCAGCAGCAGCCACCGACCGACGACCCAAACAGAAACCGGCGCAGACCAAGCACGAAACUCUCGCCGAACUCAUAAAAGCCCAACCCAAAACUCCCCUCUGCCCCCGUCCGCCUCCUCUCCCCCUUCCCCCACUCCCCGACGCGCCCCUCCUCUCUCUCCGUGGGCGCCUCCCCGUCCCCCGCCCCCAAAUCGCCCCCGCCCCGCACCUUCUCGGAGCGCAGCGCCGGCAGCGCGGGAGGAGAGGGGGGAGGCGGCGGCCGGGCGAGAUGAGCGACUCCUUCUGCCCGGACUGCAAGAAGCAGACGGAGGUGGCGUUCGACCACUCGGCGGGGGACACGGUGUGCACCGAGUGCGGCCUCGUCCUCGAGGCGCACUCCGUCGACGAGACCUCCGAGUGGCGCACCUUCGCCAACGAGUCCAACGACAACGACCCCGUCCGUGUCGGCGGGCCCACCAACCCGCUCCUCACCGACGGCGGGCUCUCCACCGUCAUCGCCAAGCCCAACGGCGCGCAGGGCGAGUUCCUCUCCUCCUCCCUCGGCAGGUGGCAGAACCGCGGCUCCAACCCCGACCGAUCCCUCAUCCUCGCCUUCCGCACCAUCGCCAACAUGGCGGACAGGUCCCCUCCUCGCCUCCCGUCCCGUCCCCCUCUCCGCUCCAAUCCUCCCUUUCUUGCUGCUCCCGGCCCGAUUCGAUUCGAUCGAAUUAUGUGGUCGUGCCAGUGUUUUGCGCUGGAUUGAUGGUGCGCGCGCGUGUGCGACGCUACCUGAUUUGGGUUUUAGGUCCGGUUUCAGGGUUGGUUAUGACUGCGGGGUCUAGAUUUGAAACAUCUGCUUGAUCUAAAGUCGUCUAGUGCUUUGCUAUAUGGUGCCUGGGUGAGGUGCUGGAUGAUUUUCCCUUGGAUCUACGGAAAUUUCGUUCUUCCAUUAACUGGGAAUUGAUCUAAUACCUUUAAUUUCAAUAGGGAAUGUCAAAAGUUUCAUUUUUAUUUGGCACACAAUAGGUUCUAGUAAAAUAGAUGGGCUGCUUGCACUUCUGCAUGAUAUUAUGCACAGUAAAGCAUUGACAAGUUGAUCGUGAUGGCAUGGAGUACCUAUACCUGAGGCAUGUGAUUGGCCUAGUGAAGGAUCAUUCUAGAGUGGGGCAUUUAAUACAAGUAAACAAAUAUCACAACAUGUUUCUGAUUUGGGUGAAUAGAUGCACAAGGCUCAAAGCUAUGUUCGUCAAUAAUUUGAUUUACUACCAAACCUGUGUGGACCUUUACCGUCAUAGCAUCUGGAUUUCCACAACAUGCUGACAGCGAAUGAUAUGUCUUCUGCAGGUUGGGCCUUGUGGCUACUAUUAAGGUAAGAAAUCUUAUGGCUAUCGUCCAUUAUACAGUAUUAAUUUAGCUGCCUGCAUUUUUUAUGUAGCUACUUGGUUAUACUUGCAAGUGCUAGCUGUGAUUUACCAUUUUUAGGUGCUGAUGAAAUGGCGUGUCCUGAUAGUUGGCCUAUUGUAAAAUACUGAUACAUAACUCUUUGUAUGCUCCCUUACUAGGAAUAUUUGUAGCCCAUCAGAUUACAACUAGACAUUUUACAAAUUUUGAGCUAGCGUAUAUGCUAAGAGUAGGGAUCCAUGUUCUGUACCAUGGCUUUUCUUAUCUUCCUGAAGAUAGAUACACGUAACAUUUUUCUGAACACCCAUUGUGUGAUUGAAGUUGUUGCUGCUUCCAGCUUCCAGUGUUCGUUAGGAUGGUAACUCACUGCUAUGUAGUGAUUAUUUGUUUUUGUUUCUUUUUCCUCAAGGAUCGAGCCAAUGAAAUCUACAAGAAGGUUGAAGAUCUCAAGUCUAUUAGGGGAAGAAAUCAAGAUGCCAUAUUAGCUGCUUGUCUGUAUAUUGCUUGUAGGCAAGAAGAUAGGCCUAGAACUGUGAAAGGUACAUAGUGUUCUGGAAAUUAAGGACUUGCUGGACAUUAGAAUUCAUAACCAUACAUGCAUUAAAUUCCAUCGUUCUUGUUUUGUGUUGGAUUGUUGCAGAAAUAUGUUCAGUUGCUAAUGGAGCCACGAAGAAAGAAAUUGGCAGAGCAAAAGAAUUUAUAGUGAAACAACUUGAAGUUGAGAUGGGGCAAUCUAUGGAGAUGGGAACCAUUCAUGCUGGAGAUUUCCUGGUAUGUUGGCCCAAAUAUAUAUUAGUUUUCCAUUUUUUUGUCAGAUUUGGUAAUUAUCGUAGUUCUUAAGUUGGUAGCUAGUAGCUUAUAAGCUGACGAUUGCAGAGGCGUUUCUGUUCAACUCUUGGGAUGAACAAUCAAGCUGUUAAAGCAGCCCAGGAGGCUGUUCAGCGCUCGGAGGAGCUUGAUAUAAGGUUUGGCAUUUCAGGCUCUGCUAGCCCUGGUCCAUUUCCAUUUGAUUGUGGUUAGGGCCUUCUGUGGCAUGAAAGUUUAGUUUAGCUUUAAGAUUGCUGCUUUGGUCUGAUUAUGGCUUUUGAAUCACUGAUGCUUAGCAUAAACUUUGAUCAAUUUUAGUCAGGUGACCUAAUGAAUCAUAUAUGAUCAGAUAAACAAAGUACUCAUACAUUCCAUUAAAAUUAGUUUAUGCUCCAGGCUGCAGCACGUAAAUCUAUUACAAGCCAUGAUGCAGCUUAAUGUUUUGUUUGUAUCAUCAUGUAUGAUAGACAUGCUAUGAAUCCUGAAAUGAUAAUUCCAACUUGGUCAAAUUUGUAGCGCACAUUUCUUGACAGAUGAAAAAGAUAUGCUGACACUUCCUUUCAACCUUUUGUGCAGGAGGAGCCCUAUCUCAAUUGCAGCAGCAGUCAUCUAUAUGAUAACCCAACUCUCAGAGGACAAGAAGCCACUUAAAGGUUUGGAUUGGUGCCCUGUUAUCUCUUCUUCGUAUGACUGAUGAAUCGGUGAUAACACUGACAUUUUGUUGCAGACAUUUCCUUGGCUACUGGUGUGGCAGAAGGCACCAUCAGGAAUUCAUACAAGGAUCUGUAUCCCUAUGCUUCAAGGCUCAUCCCUAACACCUACGCCAAGGAGGAAGACCUAAAGAACCUCUGCACACCUUAGGAAGCUUUUUUCUUCUUUUCCUUUGUUACAUAAGGAAACUUUUUUCUUCUUUUCCUUUGUUACAUAAGUCGGGAUUAGAUUUGUCAAAGAAGAGUGAGUGAUGUUGUCCCUGGUGACUGUACUGGGCAAUGUGUCGCCGCCGCGGUUAACUUUAUGUGGCCAUGAGAACAAAAGUUGUCCUCAUCAGAUCGAAUUUCUUUCCAGUGAUGGCAAGUUUCGUACAUUACCUUAUCUCACCUACCUCCUGAGGCGCAGUUGUCAUUUUCGUGUGCGCCCUGGGGUGCAACUGUAGGUAGCAACCAGACUCCUGAUUUUGUUGAACUCUCAUCUGCAUCGUUCUGAAGAAACCAUGAUGCAUCCAUCUCUAUUCAGAUUUUGCACAAACUCUUGAGGAAACAGGGUGUGUGUUUCGGUUCAUGUAGCGUUUGUCAGCAGCGGGGGGGUUGGUGGUGUUGUUCAGGUUCAGCAGCCGGCUAUCAUGCCGUGGGUCAUGGGCUCAUGGCUUGGUCGGCGGAUCGUCGGAUCCAUCGAGAAAACGGGAAAAAGGGUGGUCUGCGAAGAACCCUCGUUUUGAGCGACGGACGCCCAUCCGGUGGAUGCGGCACAGCGGCAGCGCGAGGACGACAGGCGCGCGCGCCCGUCAGCGAUGGGUUUCUUUGACGCACCAGUGGGGAACGCACUCGCCACUAGCUGACGGCCCUUGGGUAGAAGUUGGGUUGGGUGGCUUGGCAGCCUCACAGUUCACAGGAGUCGCAUGGAGCGCGCGCCCGGGUCACUGGGGGUUGCCGAAAAGAAGCCGUCCAUGGCGUGGGCGUCCGCCCGUUUAACGUGGACAGCCGGUUGCCUGGCUUGUCCGUCCAGUGGAGCCGCGCAACGUGCUCCAGUGUCGCCUCCAACUUGUGGUGGAGCCUCAGAGGAUAGCUAACCAAAGCAGACGGGAACGCUCGUUCCGGGUUGCUCGUCCAGGCAAAUUGCUCUUUGACCAUGAACAGGUGCUUGAUUCAGCUACCAAGUUAGGAAACAGGGCACCAUUGGCAGUGACUGCCGACAGUCGGUUCUUAUCUGAACCACAAUCAGGUCGUAGCCUUUGCAUCACUACUUCGACUGCUCAGCAGCUCUUGUUCCAUCAAGUUGUGAUCGUGCACGAUCACGCGCAGGUUCUGUAGAGUUUUGCGUCGUACACUGGCGGCUGCCCAAUCACGGCCCUUGGCAUCUCGCCAUGAACGGCAUUCUUUUUGUCAGAAAGAUCGCAGCACAAAACAUCCCCAACGACACCAGUGAAGUAAAUAUUAUUAUUUCACGUAGUAUGUUCCUGAUCACUCGCUCACGUAUAACUGAACUCCAGUCACAUACAGAAGGUCUACGGGAACAAAAAAUGGUGGCAUCUUGCAUUAUUUCUGUCUUCGUGCUACAAAUCAGCAAAACCAGGAGGAGGUGGCUGCGCACCAUCACACGGAGCACCUCCCGCAGGCUUAGCUGCCUCUCGUGUGAUCACUUAUUUCUAACAGGGCGCAUCAGGCUGCAACUUUCUUGGCAGUCACUGAGUUGACAAUGGUGGCGAAAUCAGGGCCCUGCGAACAACAAGAAAUUGUUAAGCACUUAGCUGAUAGGAGACUAUAUAACAGUGAAGGUUUUAGAACUAAUAUGCGGCAUACAGAGUGGAGAGAUGAAUAUGCACGCACGGUCCUACUCCCUCCGUCCCAAAUUAUAGGUCGUUUUGGCUUUUCUAGAUUCAUAAAUGUUUGUAUGCAUCUAUACAUACACUAUAUUUAGGUGCAUACAAACAUCUAUGCACCUAAAAAAAAGCCAAAACGACAUAAUUUGGGACGGAGGGAGUAUUUAACACCACUGAGAACGAACACAAAAAAAAGGUUGCAGGCAUAAACCACUACUGAACAGAUAUUGAUGUAGAUAGUCCGGUUAAACACCAUUGAGAUUUGGAAAUACAUAAUAAAAGUUUUAUUAUGGGUUUAGGAGCUGUAAACAUUCAAGAUCUGAUGUUAAUUUCUCAUACCUUCAGAGAGGCACCACCAACAAGAAAACCAUCAAUAUCUUCUUUCUUUGCAAGCUCUGCACAAUUGCCUGCAUUUACAGAACCUGCAACAGAAACAUAGGAAAAUGAUCAUAUCAUAGCCAGUCAGACAGAACUGAAAUAAAAACAACAGUAUCAGUACAAAAAUUUUAGCUUUAAGAGUUAAUAUUUCGUACUAUAAAUUAGUAAAUCAUGAAUCCUAAGUUCCAUCUUCCAUUCUCAUCAGUUUAGAAGGAAACAAAUCAGAGAAACACAUUGAUUCUGACAUGGUGAUAUGACAUGAAAACCUAACCUCCAUAAAUUAUUCGAACGCUAGAGGCAACAUCCGGUGAUACGUUGGUCUUCAACCAAUCGCGUACAGCAGCAUGAACUUCCUGGGCUUGCUCAGGAGUAGCAACUUUUCCGGUUCCAAUAGCCCAAACGGGCUCAUAUGCAAUUACAACAUCGGCCCAGUUUGAGAUACUAUCUGAAAGCAGAUAAAUGUUGGUAUCAACACCUCAAAGUCUCAAAAUAAAUCAAUGCUCUAAAUUCCUUCUCAAGAAGGCCUAAAAAAUUUUAGUAAAGAACAAGAAGUUUCACCUGCAAAAGCCUUCAUCUGCUCAAAACAUACAUCAAAAGUUUUCCCCGCUUCUCUCUCUUCCAACAGCUCUCCAAUGCAGGCAAUAACCUUAAUAUUUUGGCUCAAUGCAUAUGCAGCCUUCUUCCCGAUAAACUGCAUCCGAACAACUUGUUAUACAAUCUGAAACUAUGUUCUGCAAGUACGGAUCCAUUUGCAUAUGGUGAGUAUAAUAGUUACCUCAUCAUCUUCGCCAAUAAUAUGUCUACGCUCAGAGUGCCCAAGAAUAACCCAUUGACAGCCGAUGUCUACCAAUUGUUCUGCACUGUAGUUUUUAUAAAGGGAAAAUUCUAUCAGUGAAGAAGAAGUCAAAAUAAAUCCGUAGUCAUCCAUUAACUAUCAUAUAAAGUUCACCCAAUAAUAUAAAUGCAACAAAAUGCUGCUUUUGUUACAAUUACUGUACAAGUAGCUGCAAUCUCCAUGUAUAGAAAAGAAAAGGGUAAAAAAGUUUCAGCACCAAUACCCAACCUGAUCUCUCCAGUGUAGGCUCCUCCUUUCCCAAUCCAUACAUUCUGAGCAGAUACCUCAAUGCGGCCAGUUAGUGAAUUCUUGACCUGGUCAAUAUAAAUGAACGGGGGUGCCACCACAACAUCUGCAGUAUUGCCAUAACUCCACACAUUAGUAUGCUAGCCGAAUUAAUCCAAAAACAAGCAGCAAAGUGCCAUAGUAUAUUCUAAACAAUCAUAUCUACUACAUGUGUCUUCCACCACGAGAUACUUCGUUCUAGUGAUAAUUUGAAGGCUAUAGGUGAAAUUCCAUCUAAACUACCAUACAAUUAAAUUGCUCCUAACAUGCAGAACCUUACAUAGAUGUUUUGUUUCAACAGAAGAGCCUGCAAACACUGAAGAAGUGUUUCCAUGCCAUAUGGCACUCAUACUGGAUCAAGUUAGCUGUUCUUUAAGUUUCUUACAGACAAAAAGGAUCCGCAAAGUCGCUAGCAAACCUUAUCAGGAGCAUUUAGCAAAUAACUUGCCUCCUGCUUUCUUUCCCUAGAAAAACUUGAGAAGAAAAUCUAAACAUGUUGGAAUUAGCGAUGGAUUUUUGCACUUUUGUUGUUAGUACUGUAAAGCAUGUGAAGCAAAUAAGUGGUACUAGUAAAUAAAUAUUGCAAAUAUUCAGUACCGUACCCAUAUUAAAAUUAAUGGGAACCUAUGUGAAAUAAGAAAACAUUAGAAUACUGAAUAGCAAUCGAAUGCAUGCACCUGAUGUGAACAACGUAUAAAAAGGAAGAUUGAGAUAUGAGAAGAAGAGACAAAUGGCCUUACCUACAUCAGCUUCAAGUGUAGCGGCAUUCAAUUCAGAGACAAGCUUGCUAAUGGAGUCCUUUGUUCCAUUCUGAAGUGAGGGAAAACAAGAGAGUAAAAAAAGACAUUAAAGACCAGAACUGCUAAGAUAUUUGACUAAGCUAGGACAUUAAACACCGAUGACAUUCCCUGGCUUCUCAAUUACAAGUUUUCCAGAAAACGAAAGAUGCAACAUGCAAGAAAGUAAGAAACUUAGAAACAUUUUCCAUAUAUACCGAACAAAAAUGGCUUUAGUAGGCCAAGUUAAGCUAGGCAGCAGAAAUGCGAUUCUAUUUCUAGAAACGGCCAUGUACGGAGUAAAUCACGGGGUAUGGGAUGACGACAAAAUCUCAUCCCGGUCCCGUUGGAAUGCCCAAUGCGGCAACAGCCAAAAGAUCAUAGAGUUACAAAAGCAUCAUCAGUACUGACACCCCCAAGCUGCAGAAGCAGAACAGGCACUUACGCACUUCCAGUUGCCCCCGACGAAGAACUGCAAAGGAGACGCAGCAAGCAUUAGCAUGAGCGCAGAAAUCACACGGGCAGAUUAAACACGGCUAGUUAAUAAAAACGGCCGCGGCGGCGGCGGCGCACCUUGCCGGAUCCAGCCAUGGCGACGACGCGCUGCGCGCGGCGGCGGGAGCUGCCGAUGCGGAGCUGCUGCGGGGCGGCGGGGGCGGCCGCCGCCGCCGCCCGGCGGGGGUCGGCGAGGCGGGAGAGGUGGGAGGACGCGAGGGACGACGGCGCCGCGGCCAUUCUCUCUCUCUGUGUGUGUCUCGCAGCUGCGGUUGGUGGGAGGAGGAGGCGAGGCUCGAGACUAGCAGCCGCCCUGGUGGGGUGAGACUAGCAGCCGCCCUGGCGGGGGGGUUCACGAGGUGGGAUGAUGCGCGCAGCCGCAGCCACCGGCCAGGGCAGGGAGGGACAAGGGAGGGUCGGGGGCGGGGUAGGCAAGGGACAGCGACCCGUGCGCGGGUCCGCGGCCACGGCUUUUUUGUAUGGCCGCCUACGCGCCCUUAUCGGCCCACGGAUAGGGCACCAGGGCCCCGGACCGGAUCCUGCCACGUUUCGCGCCCAGCGGAGAUAUCAGGGCGCCGCUGGGCCGGCCCAGCUGGACGGCGACAGGCCGUGCGUCGGCGUCCACGUGCGUGUUACGUUAUUACGUACCAGGUGGGUGAACAGACCCCUCUCAAAAAAAAGGAGGUGGGUGAACAGACAGUCCCGGAGAUAACGGUCCUAGCAGUUUUUCGCCGACGGUGAUACUCCGGCGCCCGGCAGUGGCUGGGUGCGCCGUGAGCUGUGUUUCUUCUCCUUUUUGCGGGAGCUUUGUCUCAGAUUCCUGGCUCAUGAGCGAGACAUGCCGUUGUCGCCCAUGACUGAGAUAUGCCAUGCUUUCUGAGUUUGUUGCAGUUGCAGUCAUGACCACAAACGAUGCCAACGUUUCGCCGUGAACAGUGAGCUAGCCAUGGACUUGAUACGAGUUCUAAGCUUUUAUUUGGACAUGUCGCCAACUUAAAAGCUCCAGAAGCAGAGAGUGUCGAGCUAGGUAGGACUGGUCAUCCGGAGUUUGUCGGCAAUUUUCUUGUCAAUUUACCCACACGGUGCGCCGAUGUACGCCUCAUGAUCAUAUUCUGACUGGGCAGAGCCCAACGGCAACAGCUUCAAACAGUUCCCGGCAGACACUACCCAGUUAAAAGUGGUCGCAAUUACUUCAAAAAGACCUGUCUCCACAAGCACAUACAACGAUUAACGAAUGGGAUAACACACCCAGACAAGCAGGCGCUUGGAGAACAGUUAGCACCAACUUUGAUUCGAAAAAGCACUUCAUGUUGCAUCUUGCUGCGAGAAAUUCCACCAACAGGCUCUGGAGAUCAUGAUUACUGCGGACAAUCAAGUAUUACUACAUUGCAAGGAACACCAUCAGCAUCUUGUGAGACAAACAUCUUCAUAGUUUUUCUUUUUUCAAAGGAAAUCUUCCCUAGUUGACUAGCUAUGGAGUUCUGGCUCUGGGGUCAGGAUGGAUGCACGGCAAGAGCACUGCAACUUCAUAAGCAAGCCCAUCCUUCUAGCUCGCCAUCUCUGCUUGCUUGUUAUCUUUCUGGCUUCUCUUCCGCUUCCGAACCCUCUUUCUCUUUGCCUCGCCAUCAGCCGUAGCCCCCUGCAGAACAGAUGUUUCAUCAGUGCUUGCGAGUAGUGAUUAUGGAGUUCAGACAUCAGCUAGAAAUCAAGAUAAUUUACAUGUGUUAAGCUGUCUUCCAUUCUGUUCUGUCUCUGCAACAAAGUUGAUUUUACAAUAUGAGGACAAAUAGAUACUCCCUCCGUUUCAAAUUAUAGGUCGUUUUGAUUUUUCUAGGUUCAUAGGUGUUCGUAUGCAUCUAGACAUACACUAUAUUUAGAUGCAUACAAACACCUAUGAAUUUAGAAAAUCCAAAACGAACUAUAAUUUGGGACGGAGGGAGUACUUAUGAAGCACAUGCUUCGGCGGGGGGAGGGGGGGGGGGGGAACCAUAUAGCUACAAAACAAGGAAACUAUGCGGCAAGGAAAAUACCUGAUUUUGAAUAGCUGAGGGCUGGGGCUUUGGUUUCUUUUUCUUGCAGGAGAGUGGGUUAGGACCCUGCAAAAGGAUACUUAUUAACAUUUUGUACAAGAAAUAGAUCUAGAGUAGCAAACUCGGCCACUGCUGAUGCCUACUAGAUAAUAAACACCAAAUACAGUCAACCACAAAACAAAAGAUACCAAAAAGGCAAUGACUGCAAAUAUAACCUUUGCUCUGUUCCUUUUAAACUUGCUUUUAUCUGCAACACCAAGUGCAUUUUUUACAAGAGAACUGAUAGGCCUCUCAUGUUGUUCUCCGUCACUUCCAUUUUCACUGGCUGUUGUCUUUCCUUCUGAUGCAGCCUUCAUUAACUUCUUAUACUCAGAUAUGUCCAUAUUGAGACGCUUCUCCUCGUCCAAUUGAGCAAAUUUGCGUUGCUGAACAGAGGGUUGCUCUAUAAACAAGGAGUUCUUCAGUCCGUAUAUUACAGGAACCCCAGGAAUCUACAUGGAAGCAAACAAAGUAAAUGAGCGAAUUGCUUCGACCCAGACAAGAUUGCAAAGUACAUGGAAGCAAAUAAGGAAGAUCAGCAUCAGCAGCAAGAAGAAGAAGAAGAGAGACAGCAGAUGACGAUUGUCAAUACCUCUCUUAGCUUUUCCCGGAGAUCAGCAUCCUGGGUGGCAACAAAGAAAUGCUCAGGAUUUUUAUCACCUAUCAGUGAUAGGACACAAUUCACUGCACUGACAACCUUGUCAUGCUCACACCUGGUAACACAAAAGAAAUCCAGAAAAACAGAAAGUCAGUGCAUCGAAAUUAGGCUUAUAUUAUAAAACCAAUGCCCGUCUGAUCCCAUAUGCAAAACUCAAGCUGGAACACAAGACCAUGUCCAGAAAUGGCACAAAACUAAAGGCACCAGGUACUCAAUUGUAAUUGUUAUGCCAGUGAAAUACGUGACACCUAAAACCAGUGAAAAGGUUCUGUGCCAAACAAAGGCCACCAAAAUGCACUCUGAAGUGAUCUAAAUUCCAAUUGCAGCUUAGGUUCCAGACAACAAAAAUUGAGAUUGAGACAAAUUUGCUACACAGGCUCUACGAUAGCAUGCAGGAACAAUGCAGUUUGGUUUUCCGAAGUAUGAACCUGAUAAUCAUAUUCGUGUAAGUACAUUUGUGAACUGAAUAGCAAAAUCAAAUUACCAGGGCCUCAGAGCGAUAGAGAUACAACCAAGUUGGGAGUGAUAAAAAAGAAAGAAUGGUACUAGUAGCUGAGAAGGUGGCAAUACUGUGGAAAGAAAAGGAACCCACUUGGUUGUGGCGAGAAGCUGCGCGGAGUCGAAGGAUUCGGCAUGUGACUUGCCAAGUCGCCUGAGCUCUGCGACGAUGCACUUGGAGGUGAAGAGGGCUGGCGUCCUGGAAGCCGAGAGGAGGUCGCGGAGAGCAUCGUCGGCCGGGAGGAGGCGCUGGGUGAGGAGGUGGUGGACGAAGGUGCCGUCGAUGAGGACCUUGUAGGGCUCGCGGAAGCCGAAGCAGGUGGAAUAGAACUUGACCGCUUUGCGGUUCUUCGACCGCUUCUUCACCCGCAUCCUGACCGCUCAGUUGGGAGCAGACGGCGGCAGCCGGCAAGGGAGGGGACGGCGGGCGGCGAACAGGUCGGUGGAGGCGGCGGUGAACGGGCAGGAGAGCGAGCGAGCGAGCUAGGGCAGGGCUUUGCUUCAAUCAAUCCCGCGGCUUCUCUGCGUACUGGGCUAAAUUGGGCCUCAAGGGAAUAAGUGACAUUGGAGCCCACUUAGAGUUCCAUUUUCGGCCCGAAUUGCAGACACGUUUUGAAGAAGAAAUGGAUAUUUCUCGCAACAUUUUUUCUCUUUGUGGACUCAACCACAAAUAUCCGCCUAACCAAUUAAACGCACAAAUAUCCGCCUAACCAAUUAAACGCACCAAGUGUACCGACAAAUAUUUUGUUAGUGAGGAAUCAAAUGUUAGAAAAUUAUUUUCUAAUAGAUACUUGAACGAAAAAAUCCAAUUCACACAAUGACAAAGAUGUAUAAUGGCCUUGUGCCCUGCUUGACUAACGACGAAUGACUGAUAAGGACCUUUUGAUCUCAUUUUGAUUCUACAAAUCAGCUAAAAUAAGUUUUCUAAAAACUAAAAACACUAAGAGAUACUUUAUAAUUGGAUGGAUUGUAAAAAUCUGAUCACCCAUGUUAUGAUAAUCCCACUAUCUUCCUUCACCCUAUUACUUUGAUAUUACAGACAACCACCUUAUAAUCUUAGGAUCCAAACAACCUAGCAAUUUAUAAUCUAUGAUCCAUAUCAUUAUAAUAUAUACGAGAUCCAAACAUGUUCUUAAAAUAAGUCGACAUGAAUCCAAAAUGCAGAAAUGAUGAAAUGAAACUUCAAUUGAUUUUCCGAGCAAGAGUCUGGGAGUUAAUCACGAAUUCAUGAAGACUAGUGUUUUGUGAAUUUGUGUUUACUCAAGUACCUUGGAUUUUGUUUGUAGUUUCAGGUUUUGUUUGUUUUAACUUGGAAAUUGUGAUGCAUUGCUUCUCACGGGCUAGUAAUUAUUUUCAAAGUAGAAGGAAAGAAAUAUGAGAGGGGACAUAUGGCUUCCCCUAUUGAUUUAUCUAUCUAUGGCCAAGGGAUCGGAUUGUAAUAAUCUAACAUGUGAAUUGCUGCAAUAUGAUUUCUAUACUCCUAAGGCUAAUCCCAGUGGGGAUUUCAUAAAGGUUUCAUGCACAUUAAAUACAGUGACACAUCAGCAUAUGUGAUGACAUAGCAUGAUAGUUAUGAAGUGAGAAAGGGAAGGAGUUUCAUCAGGAUGAAACUGUGUAUACACCGUUUCCAAGACUAUAAAACUUGCAUUGGGGGCUAUAGAGUUUCAUUUCAUCUAACCAUAUCCAAUCACAUGCCUCACAAUUAAAUGUCAUGGUCAUCCUAUGAAAUCGUGAAAUGAAACUAUGCACUGGAACUCUCUGUUUCAUUCAUGAGAAUACACCUCAUGGGAUGAUAUGGUAUUCUUGGAAAUAGUGCGAUGAAACCUUGCACUGGGACUAGCCUAAAAACGCAAAGAGGCGACGAAACAUCGUAUGUCACCUUACCCUUCACUCCGUCAUCCUGCGCUCCAAGGCGUCCGCGCCGUCCGUCGCCGUGAAUCGCGGCGCGGGGAGCAUCACCACCCUACGUUUCAAGGAGACACCCCCACCCGCGCCCUCGGACAUCCAUCGACGCGAUCCAACGAUUGUAGGCCAUCAAUUUUCCCCGCGCGUUGCCUCCCAUCAAUUCGUUCCUCUCUGCCACCACCACGACGCCCUAAAUCGCCGACUCGACACCCUCCUUCGUCGCCAUGAACGCCGUCCUUGACCGAGUCCCUGACGCCGUCCUCGACCGUAGCACCGAUGGACAGUGUCCUCAACCGACGCCCUAACGACGUGCAUCGCCACGCCUUCGCCGUGCCAUCGACGUACCAUCACUAGGAGUGCCUUCGUUGUGCCAUCGACGUGCAUCACCAUCGUCGGUUUAAUCUCUACGUAAAUCUCGCUGUAGCCCCUGUACUUUCACAAGGAGUGGAUGCGGUGGUGGCGGCCCAUGACCCGAUCCACCCGCACCGCCACAACCCAUUGUGACAUUCAAAUUGAGAUCCCCUUUGCGUCCUCUUUCUUUUUUUGUGUUUCUCAUAGAAAUCCGUUGCUUGUAGACCUUCCUAUGUUUUCUCCGGCGAAACUCCGACCAUGAACGGCGAAGCUCAUUCAUGGCACCAUCGUGUGGUCAUCGUCACCCUGGAUGGGAGCCAAGAAGAUGAAGAUACGAAGAUACGGCCUUUAGAUUCAAAACCGACGGCUUAGAUCAUAUAGGACUCAUACCCCUUCGCGUGUACGUGGUGCACCGUAGACCAUACACAAGCAACCCCAUCCGCGGAUUCUGUAGACCGAGUCCAUGAGUCCUAGGAUCCCACAAGUCCAUCGCCGCUGCCUCCUCCUCCUCCUGUGCCUUCUUUCACUCCCCCGCAAACCACCGUACCAGUCCAAGCCCCCUUCCCCUCCCUCCUUCGCACCUGCAUCGCCACCAUGUCCUCCUCCUCCUCGGUCGCCGCCCCGGUCGAGCACAUCGUGCUCCUCAAGGCCCGCCCGGAGGCAGUCCCCUCGAGCACCGCCGUGGCGAUGGUCUCCUCGCUGCAGGCGCUCGCCACGCAGGUCCCGGGCCUGGCCUACAUCCACGCGGGCCAAUCGCCAAUCACCGCCGCGUCAAUGUCAUUGCUUGCCAAGGCUCCGCUUCCCUAAUCAAAUGUGGCGGGCGGGUCGCGGGCUGACAACAAUGAGACAAUUGUGACGGCGGCCUAUCUGGAGGAGCUGCUCAUCGGGGUUAGCAGCCACGCCAUGCUGCAGAAGCUGCUUCACGCGGCCAGCAAGUGCGAGGUGACCCUUUCGAUAUGCGCAUGUGCCGCCAUGCGAGGGGCGACAGCAGCUCGUCAUGGCAACUACAGAGAGCUGCCGGUAGGUGCCGUAGGAAUCCCAUCUAUGCACUUAUCCAUUUCUGUUGUUUUUGCAUAUCUCUAUUUGACAUGCCGUCAAGGUGUUCGAUGAAAUUGUAAGCAUGAUGCAUGUGAGACUAUCUAUUAUGUUGUUUUUAGUGACAUGGAUCGCCCAGCCCUUCUAUUAUGAAAUUCUAAGCAGGAGGCAAAUCGGAGCUGAGGGCUGCCGUCCUUCGCCUCCCGUGACCAAGAUUGCCUAGCCCGACGAGAUGAUGACCGUCGCUUUGCAGUCGUCACGAGUGGGCAGCGUCGCCUUCCUGUCCACCUCGACAUUCACCACGGGGGUUACUGCAAGGGAUCGUUUUCUCCGAGGAAAGUAAUCAUACUUGAAUUCCUCGAUUAUUGUCUGUUUCCACUGCAUUGUGGCAAAACUUUGGACCUUCAGGUGACUACCACUACCAGCACCAGCAUCAUCGAAGGGAGGAGAAUAGAGACUGCAUUGAACGGUUGUGACGUGUCCAGGCAUUGCCAUGCUGUAAGGUUUCUUUAGUUAUUGACGUGCAAGAAUUUGAUGGUGUUUGACAAACAGGAUAUGGCAAUGAAUAUGACGAUGUAGGGAAUCCAGGAUCCAAUUUUAGGCUAUUAUCAUAAUUUGAAUACAAGGUGAAUCUUAUUAUCAUUCUGAUAAUAGCAAGUUGGGUUGUUGCUACUGAUGGGGUAAGAAAAUAAAUCUCCCACAUAGUUGUCAAUGUUAUGCCUUUUCUUAGUUCUUUCUUGAAAAGAAAAGGUUUCCAGUACUGUUGAAAAGGAGUUGUAAUCUGAAACCAGUAGCUAUCGCUCAUCUAAUCAUGCUUAUUUUAAUUGAUUUUAUUGAACAGAAGUUUAGAUUCCUAUAUGACUAUAAAGUGAGCAUGCUAUUGAUCAAAUCAUUGCGAAUUUUCCAUCAUGCUAAUUAAGAUCUCUUGAGCUAUAUUUUAUAUGUUCUAAUCAACGUUACUUUUGUCUUGUGCAGGCAACAUGCUUUCUACACCGCAAAACUAAGGUCCUGUUUGGUUUAGAGCUGCUAAAGUUUAGGGCUAAAGUUUAGUCCCUUUUAGUCCCUAAACUGUCAAACAUGGUGACUAAAAGGGUCUUACCCUCCGCUUCGUCGUCCCGCGCUCCAGGGCGUGCGCGGCGUCUGUGAAUCACGGCACGGGGAGCAUCACCGCCCUACGUUUCAAGGAGACGCCCCCACGCGCCCUCAGACAUCCAUCGACGCAAUCCAACGAUUAUUGCCCUGCUGAAUCGAAUGUUGAAGAUUGUUCAAGUCGCCGUUAGAGCUUGCUAGAAAUGAAUACGAUGUAAAGGUGAUUAACUGUUAUAUAUUGUUUGGGAAUUGGUCACAUGAUUGUUCUUUUGCAAGUUGAGAUAAAGAACAUCCAAGCGUACUGUGCUUGUGUUAAUACUCAUUGCAAAGUCGUUUUUUGUUUCACAUUGGAUGCAUUUCGUAUGUUAUUACUCAUUCCAAGGUUGUAUGACUUAAUUAAAAUGUAGUGUUGGAAUUAGCUGAAACCUUGCAGAAACAUAAUGCACAUGUCUAAGGAAAAAAAUGCCUUAUGUUUUUGAGUUCGUAGAAGCAAAUAUUUCACAGGAUAAUGUUUGAUGCUUAUAGAUGAAAUUUGUUUUGCCUGUAGCAACGCACGGGCACGAUCCCAGUUAACGAAGAAAACUUGUUCGUUUCAAUUUGUAGAACUACAACAACCUGUAAAUCCUUAAUUGCAACCUAUAGGCUGAUUGUUGGUAUUUGUUUUGUACAGUAUGUCCCGAUUUCUAAGCAUGUUGAAAUAUACCAAAUCAAAAUUGGUUCCAAUAAAAACAAGUGAACUUGUGUCAAAGGAAAGGAAAAUGAAAUAAAACAUUUGUGAACCCCAAGAAUGGUACAAUUUUUUUUUUUUGGCUUUGUUACCCCCUCAGAUAUCGGAGUGAUACAGUUACAAUCACGCCCUCAGCGGAUUAAGUCCCGGUUGAACACUAACCGAAAAUUUAGAAAUCAUAAAGUUUCUGCAUUACGAAUCAAAAAUCAUGAAAAUACCGUUGGCCGAAUUCGGCACGAACCUCCAGGUUGUCACGAGCAGCAGGAAUGUUUGAGAUUUCCCCAAGGUGAAUUCUGAAAGCAAUGGUCAGAUACAUCGAAGACACACGUGGGUCCAAGUACGCAUGCCCCACAGGUCGGUGACAUGACCUUCCAGGCCGAGUAGGUGAACCCCCACCCGUUCCCUGAUGAUGUUGUACGGCGCGGCUCCUCUCUCCGUUUCCUCACGGCCAGCAAAACCCUCUGCACUGAAGAUAAAUACCUACAUCCAAGUGACCAGUGGGUCCAGGAAAGAACGGGCCCAACGUGUCACAGAGUAACACGCAAACAACUCGAAGUCGGUUCCGAGGCCCCGUCUUAUUAGCUGAACCAGAGCCCCGGUUUAAACCUAAACCGCACGGGUAAUCCGCCAUCAGUUUACGCAAACGCGACAUCAUGAUUUGAUUAUUUUCCCGUCGCCUCCCCCCGACUGGCUUAAACUCGAACUCGAGUCGCUAAUCCUUUUCCUCGUCACGCCCCGUCUCCGAACCUCGCUCGCCGCCAUGGACGAUUCGAAGGGGAGCGGCGGCGGGGGCGAUAAGCCCAGCGCCGAGCCCAACCCUAGCCCGAAUCCGCCCCCACCUGCCGCGGCGGCUGCCGGGGCCGGGGACGACGGUGCCGCCGCAGCCGCGGCCGCGGCUGCGGCCGAGGCGGCGAGGCGGCCUUUCACGGCCCUCAGCCAGGAGGAGGCCGACCUCGCCCUCGCCCGCGUCCUGCAGGAGCAGGUAAGCGGCGGCGAGAUCUCGCGGCCUCGGGGACCAUUCCUAGGGUUCCUCGACCCCCCGCGAUUAACCCGUGCUUCGGAUCGGUGCAGGAGCGGGCGUACAUGUUGCUUCGGAUGAACGGCGGCGGCGGCGAGGGCAGCGACUACGGGAGCUCCGUGGCCGGGAGCUACGAGUACGACGAGGAGGCCGAGGAGGACUACGAGGAGGAGCUGGAGCACCACCUCCGCGUCCACCACCACGAGCACCCCGCGGGCGAUGUUGAUGGCGAGGGCGAGGGCGCCGAGGGCUCCGAGGGUGCCGAGGGGAGCGACUACGAGGAGGAGUUCGAGGAGGAUGAGGAAGGGGAGCCAGAGGUAGAUCCCGCGGACUUUGAGGACGACGAGGCAUACGCCCGUGCGCUGCAGGAUGCUGAGGAGCGUGAGGUCGCUGCGCGGCUUAUGGCUCUCGCUGGUCUCAGCGAUUGUGAGUACAAACGAUUCGUUUCACCCCAGCUCAGUUCACAUUUUAGUUGGUUGCCGGUUUGUAAUUUUGGCUUAAGUGCAGGGCGAGCAGUGGAUGUGGAGCAUGAGGAGGAUCAUGUGAAUGAUCCACAGGUUGUGAUUCAUCUCUUAUAGUUGAUUAACUUUUACCUUUAUUGAGAGGGAGAAUCACUUGAGUUUGCAAUUAAUGGGUCUUGAGAAACAAAAUGGAAAAUGCUAUUACCAUCUCCUCUAUUUGUUGGUUUCUGUGCAUAUAAACUAGUGAUUGCUUCUUCUUUGAUUAAUGUAAAGACAGAUGAAGUAAGUUCCAUAGAAGUGAGCAUGAUUUGCGCCAUAUUUUAUUGAUGCAGUUAAAAUAAUUCUGAUUUGUUGUUUAUCGAUACCAUGAUACUUCCCUUGUUAAAUUGUUGACAUUCUUUCCUACCUCAAACACAUCUACUGUUUUUCUUUCAAAACCAAUGCACUUUGAUUGCAUAGAUUCUAUGGGUCUGCCUUUCAUUUUUAAUUUCUCAUUCAUAUGCUAGUUAUUAAUUGUAUUUCUAACUUAAAACAAAAUGAUGUUGCAAUGUGAAUGGCGGCUUAAAUGUUGAUGGUAAAAUAAAGCCACGCUAGCCUGAUGCUUCUUUGGAAGUGGUCACGGAGACAUUUAAAGUGCUAUCUGUAUGCGCCUGGAGUUUACCUUUGUUCUACCAAAAAAAUAGCAUGGAUUCAUUGCUAGUAAGUUAGAUUGCAACUUUUUCCUUGUUUGGCUUCAUCAUUAAACGAUAAGACGAUAAGGAUUUUUUCACAGUUACCUUUAUAGUUCAGGACCUAAAUAAGAAACCUUAUCUAGUUUGGUGUUUGAGUUACCAUGGGGUUUUGCUUACCAAGCCUGAAUUAUCUAUCCUUCUAGCAAUAAAAUCAAGUAGCAACUUAGUAUCUAUAAUUUUAUGAUACCUGGUCAGGUUCUACUAUUUUUCUUCACACCUCAAUCCUCUAGGAAUUGUGGCAUAUUUCGCAACUAGUCCUACAAUUUCAAUACAGGAAAUUUAUGUCUUUACUUUCUUUCAUACUUAAUAAUAAUCAAUCAGCUACAACAAAUGAUUGACAAACUACACUUCUAUAUGCUUUUAUAAAACCCAGGAGGCAUGGCAGGAGGUUGAUCCAGAUGAAUACUCUUAUGAGGCAAGUUGCAUUUCUUGUUAUCUUACCCUUAACUCCCGAAGCUCUUCAUUUUGAAGCUCUAAAUAUCAAUAUGGCAUGUUAAUGGUUCUUGUAUUGAUUUCAGGAGCUAGUUGCAUUGGGCGAAGUAGUUGGUACAGAAAGCAGAGGUCUCUCUGCUGAUACACUUGCUUCUUUACCUUCAGUGAAGUACAAGGCACAAAAUGUUCAGGAUGGCAACACUGAGCAGUAUGUGCAAAUAAUUGAAGUUUAUAGCUUUGUAAUAAUCUUUGUUCUGUAGGCAAAGUUCUGAUGUAUCAUUAUUGUUGAUAGAUGUGUAAUUUGCCGUGUGGAAUUUGAGGAUGGUGAAUCUUUGAUUGCACUUCCCUGCAAGCACUCAUACCAUCCUGAAUGCAUAAACCAGUGGCUGCAAAUAAAUAAGGUAUGAUGAACCUUUCUUAAGCUCCACAUAUUUGAAUGGCUAGAAAGUUUUACUCACGACCUUGAAUGCCACCAGCAUGCACCUGGAGGAAUUUUCGCAUCACAACUAGGUUGCACAGUAUUAUUAUGUUUGCUAGUCAGUUCUAGUCAUUCUUUAUUUUAUCAAAAAGUUCAAGAUCAUUCUGUUGACCAGUAUGCAGGCUCAUGGUUAUGUACCAAUGCCAUUCCCUUUUAUCCUAAUUGUGUAGCUGUUUUUAGUUGCACCCUUUGCGGCCUUGCACCUUUGUUUGCUAUUGGGAAAAAAAAAUGGUUGCAGAUACAAUAUACAAUUUCAAUGGUAUUGAGGAAUGCAGUAACAGGGCACCUUGUAUACAUUUGAAAUAACAAUAUUCAGUUAUUUGCUUCAUAGAGUAACACAGUAACAUUUGAAAGGUUCAGCAAAUUCACAAACCUUCGAAGCUGGUAAUGGUAUGCUGUAUGAUAUCAACACUUGGGGAUAUUGUAUAUAGGUUUUGCGUGCUGUUUUGAUAAAUACUUCUAUAGUUUUAUAUGUUCAACCACAUUAAUCUUGGGUACAUUUGGAUGUUAGUUAAACAUCCGUACUCUUUUCAAAUAUAAGAAUGGUUCAGGGACCUUUUGUUCUGCUUAAAUCACUCCAGCCUGUCAAAGCAUUUACGUCUUUCUAUUAGUGUUUUAGCAGUAGUAGCCGUUUCCUGUUUAUUCAUUCAUUGAGCUAAUGUUUAGUCAGUGGUGAGUUGUUAUACUCUGUUAAUCAAGAAAACUUGGUGCCUUCAACAGAUUUGUAAGUUUUAUUAUCCGUGGAAGCUGGCAAAACCGAUGUAGUUGCUGCAGAACUGUAGUCAGGUCAAGUUAGUUUUCCUGUCAAAUAGUCUGGCACAGUGACAAGCUGUAGGCUACAGCUGUAUGCAUAUUGUUAGCCAUUUCAGCAUUCCUUGCUAUGUCGAUCCUUAUCUUGCAAUGAGGCUGUAGCUUUAUACAUAUUGUUAUGUUAGUCUGUUUAAUCAUUCCUACCGGCAGAUCCUGCCAUGUUGAUCGUUACUGUGAAAAGUAACUCCUAGCAUACCAUCUGCUUUAUUGCUAUUUCAACAUGUUUUACAGAAACAUGAUGUGAACACUUCUAACCGUAACAGUAUCUGUUGGCCCAAAAUUUUACAAAAUAUCUCUGAUUAUUGCAGGUAUGCCCUAUGUGCAGCGCAGAAGUUUCAACCUCAGGCAACAAGGAGGCGUAAGCGUGACCGCUCUCUCAUAUGGCCAUUUUCGGCACUUGAUGGGAAUAACUAGCGGCGUCACAGUACCAUCUGUAUUGUUGAAACAAAAGCAGAAAAAACGUAUCAGAAACAUGCAAGGAGAUUGUGUUUAAAAAAAACAUGCAAGGAGAUCAAGAAAUAUCUAAUCCUCGUUUCUGUUUUUCUCCUGGCUCUGCUCAUUGAACUUUCUUUGCCUUGCCGCUAUGCUUUAUGUUCCCUUGGGACGCCUUAUGGCUGUUGUACGAUCCAUAAGAUACACUAAUUAUAUUAUAUAUAUUAUAUUUAGUCAUUCUUUUUAUUGAUCCCAUGGUCAUCGUAUAUAUCUAUUUGUUAAAUGUUGGUAAAUUUUUUGCUUAUCGCACACGUUUCUGCGUAGUGCAUACAGGUUGAGUGGUCUCGAACAAGUUGACGUUGUGACUGUGUUGUGGCCAAUUUGGGAGGAAUCCAACAUUAUUGAGUGCUUUUACAAAUCGUAGCAUCAGUCUAUGAUACUCCCUCCUUACUAAGGGCUGUUUGUGAAGGUUUCUCCUAAAAUAGCUUCACUGGUGAUGUCAAAACUUGUUAAGAAAAAAAACGGAUUUCACCUGACUUCUAGUUUAUUUUUUUCUUUGAUAUGUAAAAUAGUUUCAUACUAGUGCUUUGAUUUGUGCAAAAUGGGUGAAACCAAAAUUGGGAUAAAUCCUUCUAAACAGGAUCUAAUUACUACGAAGAUUUUAUUAUGUAUCUAGAUAUAAUGUAUGGCUAGUAUAUAAUUAGUUAAAUUAGAUCGAAAUAUGGCCCACUGCUCGUGAAUCCUACACUUAUUAACUCUCCAACUAAUGCACUGAUGAGAUAUACUUUUAUAAACUAAUACACUGACAUAUUGUAUAGAUAAUUUAAAAUUAAUGCACUUAGUUGUAUAGAUACAUAAGAUGAGAUAUGCAUAGAUAGUCUCAAAUUAAUGCACUUAGGUGUAUAGAUACAUAAGAUGAAAAUCGAUUGCUAGAGAUAGAUGUUUAUUAGGAUAUGUCGUGGAACUAUAGCUACCAGCAAGGAUAUUUUAUAGAGAUUUCUGUACGUAAGCACUCCUGAGAUCAGCCUUGAGCAUUCUUUAAUUGCUGUGGACGGUGGAGUGCUGCAUGGUGGGUACUGGGGGCGUCUCUUAUGGAUUUGGAUACUAAUUCAGUUGGUAAAAACAAAAUUACCUGUGAGAAUUGUCUUUUGUGGAUGUGCUACCCCUGCCAUUAGAUUGGCAUGAUAAUUGAUAUCGACGGCCAAAGCCUCACUGUGACUAGCGCUCAGUUACAGCUCGGUUACUUGCAUGUGAACAAAGUGAAAUUAUUUAGCAGCAAGCAGAUACAUCAACCCGUGCAAUGUAGAGGUGGGCGAGCAGAGCCUAUAAAAGCAGAGUUUAUCCCAGUUCACAAGAGCAUCUUCACUUGCCCAUUUUCCCCUUCUCUUCAAGAAUAUUUGCACAAAACACAGAUCGAUUUGGUCGAGCAAAAGAGAUAUCUGCAAUCGGGUAUGUUUUUGCUGUUGCCCUCUAGCGGUUUACGUUUUAGAUCUCUAUGAUGUAUUUUAUUUCUACAUCCAUACGACCAUAACAUAACAGUAAGACUAUUAAAAAAACUUGCGGGCACAACGGUCGGACGAACAAGUGUCCACCCAAACACUUCUCGUCUUCCCGCUUCUUGAUAUGAUACGAGGUGGGGGUGGGGAAAACACGUCAAUUUCUGUUUCUUUUGAAGUUUUCAGCUAAUGAAUUUCAUGUAUACCAAUAUAUUUUUGUAAAAUUCUUUAUUGUCUUUGGACAAAAGCAAGCUUGGUUUUUGGAAAGAUUGCUACGAAACUAAAAUUUGCAUACAUUAAAAGCACGUACAAGUCUUGAUCAAAUAUUGUUGACUAGGUCAUCAAAGUUUCCGGGAAUAACUUUUUUUCACGGCAUCACCUCAAGAUUACUAUAUUCACUCGAAAUUAAGUGUACAUUAAAAACACAGCAAAGUCUGAGGCUGUAUACCGGUAGCUCUUUAUUGUCUAGGAAGGAAUGCAGAUCUCGGCCUUUGGAGCUUAGGGUGACUCUUCUUACUUCUUCCUCUCUCGGCUCGGCUCCAUUAUUCGUGGGGAGGUGGGGGGCUCAAGCCCCCUGCACUCUAGUGGAUCCGCCCCUACUACCGUAAGUUUGUUUGUCGAUGUUCUCUUGCCACCGCUUCAGAAGUUUUUCAAGUUUGCUCUCUUUAAAUUGUGUCAAAAAGCUCUAGCAUUAUUGUAAUAAGAACUAGGGCACAUGCUUCAUAAGUUGUUCUGGUGCUCGAGAGAUUCCUUUGUGUUCGAGGAGAAAAGAAGUGCUCAACGGUACUUUCUACCAACCAACUUAUUUUUUGAAUUAUCGGUCCGUCAUAAAUUCUGAGAAAUGUUUGUUUUGAUGCAAUUUUUUAUGGGAGUUCUUAAACUUAGCCAUCAUCAGCGUGAUUCUAAACGAGUUGAAGUAUCUAGUGUUCUCUGUAGCAGUAUAAUGUUUAUCACUUUUAUUGUUGUUCUUGAGGGAAAAAUUGCAGCGCCCUUACGCAUCACGAAGAAUAAGAUUUUAGGGGAAAAUUCUCUUUCUCGCGGUCACUCUAUGCGUCUUCUUGCAGUCUCUAAAGAAAGCAGCUCUCAAACCCGGAGACAUGGAGCAUCAAGGAGGUUUUGGAGGAAACCCGUCGGGCCACUUCACGCCGUCUUUCCCGACUCCGGCCAACAUCGGCGCUCAGGCAAGUCAUCAGGCCCCUUUCCAGGCAAACGGAUCCGAGCCUUUCAUCAGUGGCGCGGGGAUGCCGUGGCCCGGUCAUCCUAAUGCCAACGCGCUGGCGCCGCCGGCGGCGGCCGUGGCGCCCCAGACUUUCCAGCCCGAGAGCCACCCCUACUGGGCCAUGCCGCCGGCUGGUGCGCUGAACGCGAGCCCGUUCCAACACUUCAGCGGCGCGGCGGCGCGGCCGGUGCGCGGCGAGGAGCUCGCGGCGCGCGUGGCGGCCAUUAACAUAAACAUCUUGGCGUCCCAGCCUUUUCAUCCCAACAACUACACCCACGGCGGCUGGCCGCAGCAGGCUCCGCCGGCUGGGGCGAACAGCUAUGGCGGCGCCACGGGCUGGGCGCCUCCCAUGCCGCACCCUGCUGGUUGGCAGACGAGCUGGGCGCCUCCAGCGCAGCAACCUGGUGGAGAGGCGAUGAGCUGGGCGCCUCCAGCGCAGCAACCUGGUGGUCAGAUGAGCUGGGCGCCUCCAGUGCAGCAGCAACCUGGUGGACAGGCGAUGAGCUGGGCUGCUCCAGCGCAGCAACCUGGUGGAGAGGCGAUGAGCUGGGCGCCUCCAGAGCAGCGCCGGCGUGUUCCGGCGGCGCCUCCGGCCAGCGGCUCAGCCCAGGCGCAGCCGCCGGUGAUGAUGACGAGCAAGAGCUUGGAGGAGUUCCUCAUGGAGGCCGGCAUCAUCGACGAGCGGGCCGUCGAUAACAUGAUCAUUGAAAAUCUCAUUAAGGAUCUGAUGGGAGACGGGACGGCGGAGUCGGGCCCAGUGCAGCCUGGCGGCCCGGUGGUUAGCCUCGGGGGGUAUGGGCAGCCUCCUCCUUCGGCGGCGGGUUCCUCCUCCUCUGUCUGGGCCGGGCAGAGAUCAGAUCAGGUUGGCCAUCGCAUGGUGCGCGCCCAGGAGGAGGAAGAGGACGACGACGACGACGAGGAGGAGGGCCGCGACCCAGAAGCGGUGGCGGCCAGGGCCAGGGCGCGGCGCAGCAGGAGGAUGACCAAACGAAAGGAGGCCAUUGCCAGAGCUCGCCCCGGAAACUAGCAGGUGCCAAUUACUCAGCAUCAUUUCAGAAGCAUUUUCUUUUUCUCUCGAUCAGUUUCGUGUUUGGUCGCUGAAAAUUGUGUUGCUGGUUUGGUGUCUUUUGCAGCUGCUCGCGGAAGCCAAGAUGAGGAUCUGGAGCGAUCCGAAGUCAUCAAGGAGCUGAAUUCUUCGUCUAUGCCGGCCGUCGCAGUUGUCUAUUGCCAUUCUGAAUAAUUUCUGUUCUAGUGUCGUCUUAAGUUAUUACUAGCAUAAGUUAGGGAGCCUUGCUCAGUUGAACUUGUACCUGCAUGGCUCAUGAACCUAUGGCUGUUAAACUUCUCCUGCUUUUGUUACCUGGAUCGUUCUCGAUACUAGUUAAAUCGCUGUAGCCUUUUACCUGCUAUCCGGAUAAGCAAUGCACAUCUUUGCUUUUGCUCAAAUUCAAAGUAUCGAUUUUCCACCCCAUUGGUGAUGUGUAAACGGAGGGCUCGCCCCGCGUCGCUCCUGCGGACCCCGGCGGACGCAACCGUCGUGCCGCCGCCCCUUCCUCCACCUCCCCACGGCCGCACCGCCCCCUGAGCCAACCGCUGGGGCGCCCUCGUCUCCUCCUUCGUCCUAUGGUGGCCGCGGCCGCCAUGGCUCCUGGAGGAAGCCGCCGUGAAGCGGCACGCAGCGGGGCCGAUGAGGCCGGAUCCGGUGCCCACAACGGCGGAUUCGCCGUCUCGAGCGGCGGCGGUGGCCUCCCCCAGGCGGGCCGGCACCCCCUGCCUGGCGUGGCGAGGGCCGCGCUGGGGCCGCGUGCCGCCGGAUCCGGUGCCCACGGUGUCGGAUUCGCCAUUUGGAGCGGCGGCGGCGGCCUCCCCCAUGCGGGCCGGCACCCUCUGCCUGGCGUGGCGAGGGCCGCGCUGGGGCCGCGUGCCGCCGGAUUCGGUGCCCACAGCGUCGGAUUCGCCAUUUGGAGCGGCGGCGGCGGCCUCCCCCAUGCGGGUCGUUACCCCCUGCCUGGCGUGGUGAGGGCCGCGCUGGGGCUGCGUGCUGCCGUAUUCGGUGCCCACGGCGUCGGAUUCGCCGUUUGGAGCGGCGGCGGCGGCGGCCUCCCCCAUGCGGGCCGGCACCCCCUGCCUGGCGUGGCGAGGGCCGCGCUGGGGUGGCCAGGCCUCAUGUGUGGGGGGGGCGUCGGCGUCUGGGCAAGUGAGGGGGUGGCCGCGGGUCGGCGGUGAGAAGCGAGACGGCGUCUGAGCAAGCAGUGAGAAGUGGAGGCUGCACGCGGAGGUGCUGCGUGUGGGCUAUGGUGGUCGGAUGGCGGGCUUGCGGCGUGGAGGAGGCUUGGUGGCACGGUGUUGCGACGCCCCGAGGAGAUGCCCGGCAACGAUGGGGCAGUGGCCGCAUGCGAGGAGCGGAGGUCGAGUGGUGGCGCCUUGGGGCGGCGACCGUAGCGAAGGUGGAGGUAUGACGGCAUGGUGCGUGGAGGCGCGGCGGCGGUGCUGUCCCGGCUAGGCCGUGGCUGUGGUCCGGGAGUGCCGAAUCGUGAGUGUGCAGCGAGGGGUUGGGAUGCUCCAGGCGAAAGCACUCGCUGGCCUUUCGUGCUAGUGGAGAUGAUGUUGGUGCCCUAGGGCGUCGUUUUUCCCCGUUGUGGCGUCAUGUUGGAGUUUGAACCCUGCUGCAUGGGGUUUCUCUGGGUGAAAACCAUAUCCAGAUCCUAGACGAGCGACGGCGGCAUCAUUGGCAUCGUGCCCUCCUUGGAGGCGUUGUCUCUAAAGACCCGCCAACUCGGUUUGAGGUAUUGCUGAUCCAUUGGUCAUGGGCGGCAACAGCUGGUGGCGACAGGCCCGCCACGUGGACUGCGUCGGAGGACGGCGCUUGCGGCAACAGCAUCGUGGGACAGCUAGUCUUGCAUCGGACCGCAACGGGUUCCUUAGCUUGGCUGGGCCAUCUGGUGUGGUACAUCAUCGGAAGACGGGGCAAGCAACUUCUUUGGCUCACUGACGUGGCGGCGGAGGUUAUCUGCGCGGGUGAAGCAACGAGGCGAGGCCGACCUGCGGUGGCGACUCAGCUGAUUGAUGGAAAUCUGGGGAAGCGGGGCAACAUUGCUCACCACCCUGACGGCGACAAAAGAAACGGAUCUAUGACGUGGAGUACGUGUGGCGGGCGUGGCGAGGCCCCUUGCGCGCGGUGUUUUUUCGAGGCGACGAGAGCGAGGUGGAGUCCAACGGCGGAUGCGGUGAGGCCCCAUGCGUUGUUUUAUCUGAUGGUGACUGCGAGGCAACCUGCGAGAGGUCUGGAUCCGGUGGUAUCACUCUGUCAGGUGGAGUGCAAUGUUUGCAGCGACACUUCAGCGGAGGAUCCCGCAUGACGGUGGCGUUCUCGUGUGGUGCAGUAUGGUUCUGUCAGGUUCCUAUCGACAUACCUAGAGGUUUCGGCGACUACAUAAGGGUGAAUGUUGGUAAGUGUUGCGUAAGCUUCAUUUCUACUACCGUCAGGAGGAGUCAAAUCCGCUUGAGGGGUGUUUGAGUUCAACGCGUGUUGAUGUCCCAAUCCAACCGAUGUGUUGUUUAGUUGAGCUGAGUGCUAUUGCAUGAUGCGGUACGUGUUGAUGACAUAAUCCAACCUGCUAAUGUUUAUUGUUGUUUUUUUAUUUUGUUGUGUUCGCUCAGUCCGCACUUCAUCUUCUUUUUAAUAUAACCAGCAGUCCUCUACCUUGUUCGUUUCCAAAAAAAAAUAUCUAUUUUCCACCCCUGAAUAUGGAUGUGCAAAUUCGACGACGUGUGGUGAGUCGCCUGUUGGGCUGUCAUGGGCCUCGAUAAGACGUGGCCCAACUUAAUAAGGGGUCAAGGUUAAGUCGGUUAGGCCCACCUACCUAAGCACCCGGUCGGCUCGCCGGUGCCGCAGCCGCGAGUCGCUCGCAACCCGACGGCCGACGCCAAAUCCCUGUUCCUUCCGCUCUCACCGCCCCGGCGGCCGCCUCCGCCGCCCUCCGUCCGGCCGCGUGCCGCGACUCUACUCUGACCUAGGAGGAGAAGGUCGAAGGGCGUAAGGCUCCCUCACGGGAGGUGAGGAAGAUGUCGGGGUUCGGUGAUGGGUACGUGGGGACGGCGCAGGACGCGGUGAAGAUCCGGCGGCUGGAGAAGCAGCGCGAGGCGGAGCGACGCAAGAUCGAGGAGCUCAAGAACAAGUCCGCUGACGGGCAGCCCGGCCUCCUCCAGUUCGGCUCCAGCACCUCCGAGGUUAUUGCCAUCACGGCCGCUUUCCUGCCCUCCCAUCUGCCUCGCUACCAAAUCCUAUCUAGAUCAUUUUUGUGCCCACGUAAUUUGCCCACUAAGCCACGAAUGCUUCUCUUGUAAUCGCCUGUAAUUUGACCGAUUAGUUAGCUUUUCUUGAGUUAGCAAAAGCAGCUUAUGCGUCUAUAAUCAACUCAUGCGCGAUGUUUACUCUGUUUAAUUUACACCUGUACGAUUCAAUUUCGAGUAGCUUUUCCACGCAUCACUUUUGUUGCGGGAUUGACAGAGAGAUAGUAUAUUACUAUUAUCUGUGUUUGCCAUAUCAUAGGCUGAUUUAUGUCUUCAGUUCUACAACAUAUAUAUACAGCUAUUCAGUUAUUUAAAAACAUAUUUGAUUUUUUGGAAGCAAAAUGGCACUGCAUAUAGUAUAUAUCCUCCUUGGGUUUGUUAUGCAAACUAAUGUUAAAAGCUGUUACAUUCAGAUUCUUGAGACUGCAUUUAAGAAGGAAACAGUUGGUCUCGUCACAAGGGAGCAGUAUGUCGAGAAGGUAAUUGGCACUUCAUACAUAAACCAGUAUUUACGGGCAUCAUCUUCUGAAAAACUGGGAUUUUCCAUCUCAUUUAUUGUCCGAUUGAGCAGAGGGUUAACAUUCGGACCAAGAUCGAGGAGGAAGAGAAAGAGAAACUUCAGAAGUUGCAACAAGAGUGAGUUUGAACUUUGAAUCCUAGUCUGAUAGAACCACAAUUAUUGCUGUGUUGAGUGUAUUCUUUACUUUAACCAAACAAUGAUGUGUUGUCUUUCUCAGAGAAGAAGAAUUGCAAAUGCAGAAAAGGAAAAAGAGGAGAGUGAAGGGCGAUCCACGCCUAUCUUUCUAUGACGACAUUGAGAACGGAAGUGAUGAAGAUGAUUUUGAGAAUCGUAAGCUCCCUCUAUUUUUCCCUUACCUCAUUUAUGGUCACUUCUCACGCACAUCUGUUCAUUUUUUGAUACCAUCUGCUGUCUAUUGCACUGAACGAGUUUUUUUGCUUUGUUUCACUAUUUCUCUACUUUUGUGUGGUGAUUCUUGUUUAUCAUUUCAUAUCUCAUUUGCUAGCAUAGCCAGAUGUAGUUGAUGAUUAAUAUUAAAAUGUAAUACGUGUGUACAAUUUGGUCAUGUACUUGUUUCCUCCUUCCAAUAAUUUGCAGCUCUCAAAUUCUACAAGCUUUUUGGUGAAGUAUUGUGUUGUCUUGAUGCUUUAGGCCAAUGAGCAUUCCUGUGUUUCUUUUCUUUCCGUAACAUUCUUGAGUUUCAGAGCCAAAGCGAAUUAAAUGGGUAUUGUACAGUGCUUAAUCUAAAACAGCUUUGUUCUCUUUCAGUGUCACUGGCAAUGUGUCUCCGUGUCUUCUGUCUGGACUUGUAAACUAUUACUUGAAAUUACCCAAGAAUUAUAGAAUUACUCCAAAGCUAAUAUUAACAUAAAUUCUUGCUGUUUUGUACAGAAGAAACUCAAAAGAAAAAUGGCCCUAUCAAACUUGGAAAGGAUCCAACCGUCGAGACAAGUUUUCUGCCUGACAGGUAUUUCUCUUAGUUCAUGACUAGCACUUAGGAGUGUAGUUGAUUCUUCAUUUCCAAGCUUUCUUUGACCUGCAAGCUGUUUGCUAAGAAUGAUCCUUCAGAGAGAGGGAGGCAGAGGAACAAGCAGAACGAGAACGACUAAAGAAGCAGUGGUUGUGUGAGCAGGAAUUGAUCAAAAGUAUUGCCACAUUCUGAUAGCACUACUCACCUUGAAUCAAUCUAUGACUUACAUUUUUGGAUAAUUUUUCUUCCUAUACGAUUAACCAUUUUAUAUCCCAUUUCAGAUGAACCUCUCUCAAUUACUUACAGUUACUGGGAUGGGACUGGACACAGGAGAGUUAUCCAGGUUAAUUUCUAACCAUUACUAAACUAGCUUCUCUUGUCUGGGCUUGCGGUUUUGGGAGUUUGGACUAUACGAUUAAAACAAAGACUACUAUGAUGCCAGGUCCGUAAAGGUGACACUAUUGGAGAAUUCCUAAGGGCAGUUCAACAGCAGCUUGCCCCUGAGUUCCGUGAAGUACGGACAACGUCAGUAGAGAACCUACUUUAUGUGAAGGAAGAUCUUAUUAUCCCUCAUGUACGCAUACUUCGUUUCUUCUCUUGUAAUAAGUUACUUGGUACAUAGUUUUGUUUAGUUUCAUUCAAUCCUUUUCUUAUUUCAUGUUCCCUCUUUUCAUUUGACAGCAACACAGUUUCUAUGAAUUGAUCAUCAACAAAGCGAGGGGGAAGAGUGGACCGGUAAUUCCUUCUUCUUUGCUCGUGGAUAUUAUUUUCUGAUCAAAUUUCUUGUUUGUUCUGAAGCUUUUUCCUAGAUUCUUGGAAAAUUUAUGUGGUUCCUUUCUGCACUGUGUGUUCUCAACAUGUGUACUCCUUGCCUUCUUACAACAGAUCCUUUUUUUUUAUUUCAUCAAGGAAGACUAGCAGUUUAUUCUAUCUUUCUUAGCUUCACUAAUUAGCCAUUCUAAGAAUAUUGGAGCUGAAACCAAAAUAUUUUAUAAUCUAAUUUGGAAGGGAAGAAUUUUUUGCUUACUGAUUCCUCUGUUUUCCAGAUGAUAGCUCUUCAUGGCCUAAGAGUUUAAACAUUUACUGACUGAAUUCUAUUGGCAGCUUUUCCAUUUCGAUGUUCAUGAGGAUGUUCGAACCAUUGCUGAUGCAACAAAAGAAAAGGAUGAGGUGAUGGAUGUUUUGCAAUGUCUUAUCUGCAUUUCCCAGUUUGUCAUAUGUUGCAUUCUAAAUUCAUGUUUGAUGACUGCAGUCUCACGCGGGCAAAGUUGUAGAGAGGCAUUGGUACGAGAAAAACAAGCAUAUAUUCCCUGCCUCAAGAUGGGAGGUUCGACAACUCACUCUCUUAUCUUUCAUGCUUAAAAUUAUCCGUUAUUCUGUUCACCAGGUUUCUCUUUGGUUUCACAGCAAUUUCGUUCAUUCACUAAUGAUUCGAAUCGUCUUGCAGAUCUAUGACCCAACUAAAAAGUGGGAGCGCUACACAAUCCAUGGGGAUUAGAGUGUACAAUAUCACAGACAGCUAAGUUAUUUGUACUUGGGAUGCCUGGAAAGAACACGACAUGAGAAUGAAGUGAUGUGACAUGAGUGGAAUAGGAAGGUUAUUAGUGUUGUUUGCGAGCAUAUACUGCUAAAGCUGUAAUUGUGUCAUUGUGCUAUUUUACAUCUUUUGAUCGACUGUUGUCACCUAAUAUUUUCAAUGUUCGAUUCUACUCUAUGUUGUAACAUUUUAGUGAAUGCCAAAUUUUUGCAUUUUUAGCUACUUGUUGCAAGUGAAACCUUUACAUUUUUUGUCGACCAUGUUUCCCAUAUUAUUUUCUGAAUGUUUGAGAAAAUGUCCUGUUGCAAAUUCAUCUAACAUACUCGAUGAUUGUCGUUAGUCUGCACUGCGACAUCAUUGACUCCUCAUCUUGAUGGAUAUAUACUGUCUAGCUUGCCAUUCAUUGAUUCGCUGAAUGGGUUCACGCUUUACGACAAAAUAUGAUAGACUUCGUUGGUGGCAUAAUUUAAGUUUCAUCUUGUUUAUGCAUUAAAUCAAACUAACGGCGCCAAAGCAAGUCAUCCUGAAUUGUUUGAAAUAAAGGCAUCCUUUCUCAAUGCUGGGAGAUGGCACCGUGGCAGCCUAGUAGAUGAGUACUUCGCUACAUCAACUGCACUUGCCUAUCACCUAAUGCCCUACCUGACCUGUGGAACAGGUGAGCACAUAUAAGAAUGUCAUGAGCCAUGACCCCCAAUCAGUUGCACUAAGCCACACUAGCAUGAGCCAUCUUAACUGACUGAAACCUAGACCAAACAGGAUUAGGACUAAGAUUCCCUCUGCUCCAUGCAAUGCUCACCUCUCUCCUACCACUACACUGGAGUUGCUCCACAAAGCUGCACCAAACCCUCCUCUACCUCGCUUCAAAAACCCCUACCCCUCUCAUUGCCAGCCUCACCACACCUCGCCAUGGCUUCUCUCGCCAUCCUCCUCCUCUUGGCGCGCUUCUCCAGCUCCAUCGCCGUCUCCUCCAACUCCUACAUCUCGAGGAGCGCCGAGCAGCAGGUCAUCGCCACCGUCGCGCCGGCCAUUGUUCCUGACGUCGACGGCCAGAGCGCGCAGCCGUUCCUCACCUCGCCCUCCGGGUCGUACGCCGCGUACCUCCGCCGCGCGGUGGACGCCGCCGCCGGUCUCGGCGGGGACGCGUGCUAUGUCCAAGUCCAGCAGGCGGGCGUCGGCGCCGGCAGCGGCAGCUUGUGGGAGUCGGACUGCACGCCGGUGGGCGGCGCCGACGCGUGCGACCUCGCGUUCUCGCCGGUGGGGCUCGAGCUCUUCGCCGGCGGGCACUCGUUGUGGGACACCGGGGUCGACGGCGACCCUGGGACGCUGAGCCUUGACGACGUCGGCGACAUGAAGAUUGUUAGCAAGGAAGGUGUGACGGUGUGGACGGCGAGCGGCGAGCCAUGGACGGGGCAGCAGUGCGGGGCGCCCUUGCCGGUGUCAUCGGCACCUUCGGUGGACAGCGUGCUUCCACCGCCGUCGGCCGCCGGCGCGAAGCUUGUGACGCCGCCGUCAGCGACUCUUGCCGGUGCAGGGAGCACGGACUUUCCUUCCGGAGACCAACCAGCGCCGCCACCAGUCGACACGCUGCCCGACUUGCCCGUCCAGCCGCCCGUAGACACAGCGCCCGAGCAGCCACUGUCGCCGCCGCCAGCAGACGCGUCUCCCGACUUGCCGGACCUGCCGUUGCCACCGCCGCCGGCUUACACGUCUCCCGACUCCCCAGACCAGCCGCUGCCGCCACCCCCGCCAGCUGACAUGUCGCCGGACGAGCCGCUGUACUCGUCUCCACCUCCUGCUCCGUCUACCUCUGGCCCUGACCCUGACACGCCAGUGCCACCUUUCGGCGUGCCGCUCGCCGCCCCGCCGACCGGCGCCUCGUCACUCCCAGGCACCGCCACGUCGCCUGGCGAGCCAGGCUCACCAGGCGGCGUGCCCUUCUCGGGACCAUCGCCUGCGGGCAUGCCGCACCCGCACGGGCCGGCGCAUCCGCACCAGCUGCCGCUCGGAGCCUCGCCGCCGCUGCCGGACGCGGUGGCGCCGGGCGUGCACGGCGGGGGGGCCGGGAAGCCCGGGGUCCCCUUGGGCCACGGGCAGCAGCCAGAGGAGCAAGGCGUGUUCGGCCAGCAGCCGCAGCUGCUCAACGGCGAGGGACACUCGCUGGAGGAGAGCUCCGGCGGCUGGUCGGGAAGCGAGCGCGGCAGGGUGGCCGCGUGCAUGGCCUUGCUCGCUGCGAUGACAUUGGGCUUUGGCUUUUAGUUUGUUUUUUCUUUUCGUGGUUUUGGGAUUGGAUGAUCAUUUCUGUAGUGUUACUCUCUGAUGGUCUGAUCUGGGGCUACCGGGCUGUGGUCUGUUUUGUGGAUUGUGGUGAAUUCUGUGUAAAACAUGUUAUGGUUAGCUGCCUGAUUUAUCUUGUAGGAUAGUAUGAUGUACCGUAUGUAUGCUACUGCUUUUGUGCAUUAUCGUGUAUACGUGUCAAAUUUGAGCACGAUUCGUGAAUUUGAACUCCAGCUGUUGUGUUACUAAAAGUUGAUUCGUAUCCACACUAUUCAGAAAUGUAAUAUUUGUACAGGACCACAAUGCAGCUUGGAUUAAUUUCCUAAAGACCAGCAAUACUGUCAGUUUUAAGCCUUUCUUACAGUCACAGCGUUUCGUCCAUCCGCUCUGAUGGCAUCAGUGUUCAGAGAUUCAGAGGACGGCCAGGCCUCGCCGGCGCCGUCCUCAGCGCGCGCCAGCCGUUGCAAUCUGCUCUUUUGGAGCCACGACUGCUUCACGUGCAGUCACCGUCACGUUCAGCACGGCCACGGCGACAACGGUAAAACGUUUGCAGGAGGCUGUAGGUGUCAGUUUCUAUCUCUAUCUGAUGGGCCAGGUCGGCCGGGUUUCCUGAUCUGCCAUGUGCCCAUCAUCAGUUCAUCACCGAUCGCCCGCGCGCUGGCACUACGGCAGCCUGCUGGCGGAGUGGCCCUGCCGGGCAGCUCGGGAUCAGGCCAAAACGCACCUGUUUCUUUCGAUCGGUGCCUCGGAAUGUGAUCUCUUUGGUCGUGGUGACGUGCCGCGCAGUUCCUCGGCGCCGCCAUUUCUGGGUCUCGAGAUGGCGGGUUGUGCGGCAAGCUGGACAGGGAUAUGCACGAUCGAGCACGGAUCAGGACGGACACGCCCGUAGCACAGUGCAUGCACCAACCAUGCUGCUGCUACGUGCAUCCCAACGCGGUUCAGCAGCUGGAUACUAACUCCCCAAUAAUCACCAUCAUUGAUCUCAAGAAAAAAAAAACGUUGAUCUAGCACUAACAUUUCAUCUCACUGAACGAAUCGAUGUUAUCAUCUCCUUUUGCCUACAACGAGAUGCUGCGUUCUUAACAGCAAAGCUGAACACCAUUUUACCCGAUUGCUACACUACAGGAGGAAGCAAGGCAUCGCUACAUUCUAGCUAGGGACCUACAGCUAUUGCAGGAAGCGCGGCAUCGCCGGUGGCGCAGGCCUUGCCGCCGUGCCCCUCCGGGCGGGUGGCGACGGGGGCGCGGCACACGGGGCAGGUGGGCGCGCGCGUGAGCAGCCACCGGUCCACGCACUCGCGGUGGAACCCGUGGCGGCAGGCGGGGAGCACGCGCACCUCCUCCCCGCACGCGUACUCCGCCAGGCACACCGCGCACUCCUCGCCCUCGGCGCUGCGAUCAGGGUCCGGCACCGGCACCGCCACCACCACGACGGGGAUCUCCUCGAGCGCGCGCUUGGUCUCCUCGGCGGCCGCGGGCUCCGGCGCCCCCGUCCCGCCGUCGGGUCGCCGGGACCCGCCCCCGGCGCAGAGGAAGCCGAAGAUGGCGGUGAGCGUCACGUACGACACGCUGGCGAGGAAGAGCACGAUCGCGGUCGCCCCGAGCACCCGCUCCAGGUGCGCGCGCUGCGCCUCGAGCGACGGGGCCGGCACCGGCGGCGCCGCACCGAGGAGGCUGCGGCCGGAGGCGUAGUGCUCCCGCGCGCAGCCGCCGCCGAACACGCGCAUGGCGAUCGAUCGAUCACGCUGGUCACUCUAGCUAGCACGCGUUCACGCGUGCUGUGUUUGUAUGCAGCGUGACACGGAGUUGGGUUUUAAGGGGGCUGCUCGUGUGGAGGGACGCGGAGCACGGAAGGUGGGCGGAAGCUUCGGCUCACUGCAGCCGUUGCCGCCGCCGUCAUGGGACGUGUGGGCUUUGUGCUGUGCCGUUUGCUUCAAAUUCACCCGUGCUCGCGUUCAAAUUCAAUUCGUUCCCUCCGACGAUAGGUUGCGUGGCCGCGUGCCGUGCCCGUGCCCGCCGAACGCUCGGGCCAACCCGGCUCGGGGACGGCUGGGUCGCGGGACGAGGCGCACAAGCGAAUCCGCGGGCCGCCCGGUAGUAACGCGGCGCGUGUACCGAUCACCUCGUGUAAUGUUGGGAGCGCCUGCAUCUUGGUUGGCCGUGAGCAGGGUGGCUACAGUUGCGAGAGGGCGCUGCUGCUCUGGAGAUGUGCAGAUGCGAGGGAAAUUUGCAUCUGCCGGUGGGCUUUGUGGCCGUAUGGAUUCAGCCAAAUAUGGGCGGCUGAGCUGGAACUGGGAUUGAAAUUGGCCCCAUGACGAAUGAGAUUCGAAGGGGGGCGGGCGAACCGAUCAUGAUCCGUCCGUCCGUCCCGUCGUCCAUCGUCGGUUCCAGCUAGCACGGCCUAGGGCUACGGCGGCGCAUGAGGAUUCGAGUUCUAACGAGGGAACGGAGCAGAGCGCUCAAAUGGUCGUGCGUAGGUGGGUGUUUGAUUUGGACUAAAGUCCAUUAAUGCAGUUGAACAAAGAUAUUUUUACCCCCGCUACCCACCCUAUUCAUGCGGGCGGCGCCUGUCUAUGGCGCGGGCCUCUGCCUCCUGCGACCAACGUGAGCUCCCGCGUGGUCCGGGAGGAGCGGCCCCCGGCGCGAGACGGCGGCGUCUGGCCACGGGCCUGACCACGACACGCGACGGCAUCGACCGUCUGGGGCACGUGGACCCAUGUCUGUCGGUGGCACAGGAUGGGUCCACCGGAUCCGGGUGGCGCGGUCGUGUCGGAGCCGCCGGAGCACGGCUCGGCGGGCGGGGCCGCUAGUUUCGAGCGGCGCGGGGCCAACACCGGCCACCACUGCCCCGCGUGCGGCGGAAGGAGCUCGGGACAGUGGCGCGGGACCGUGACGCCAAAUCCAAGCGCGGGGUGGCCCGUACGGGCCGGAUCUGGCGCGCCGCCGCGGGAGGUCCUAGCCAUCGUCCACGCCAUCACAGGGCGCACAAGGCCGGGGGGCACAAGGGCGGGACGGGUGGGAUGGGGAGGGGUAGGGUGCGGGACGGGUGGGACGGGGAGUAACGAGGGGCAAGGAUGUCCCAAGGUCCUUUAGUCCAUUUUUAUCCACCCCAUAUGAACUAGUGGACUAAAUACUUUUAUCCACAUUUUAGUCUACCUAUUUGGUAUUUUAAGAUUAUAAGUGGUUAAAAUGGAUGGACUUUAGUCACCGUACUUUAGUCCAUGGUAACGAGCAGCCCCUGAGCCAAUCGACAAGUGCAAGAACAUUAUCUAUUGGUCGUGCGUAAAUGCCGAACGGAGGAGAAGAGCGCUCAAAUGGUCGUGUGUAAAGCCAAUACGAGUACAAGCCCAAGCCUUCGGCAGCAACUGGGCUGAGACCGUUCGGCCUUGUGGGCCUAAGAACAUUUCGCCCAGGCGCUUGUUGCUGCUGCUGAUGACGAGGAGGCGCUGCGACUUCAUGGGCUCACGGCCGCGAACGCGAGCUAUGUGGUCAGUUGGCCACUGGCCACGGGCGAGCUUGCCGGUACGGGAGGAUACCGUUUCGGUUGCCAUGUCGCACUCACCAUGGAUAAGGGCGUGCACACGCAGCUUCUGCCGCUCAAAAGGCAAAAUGCCACCACACUUUUGAAAAAAUAAAAGAAAAGAAAAUAGUUUGGAUGUCGAUUGAUGGGGGCAUCAAUCAAGUGGGAAGCAUGUGGCCGGUGCUUUGCCAACUGUCGUCUGAUACCUCGCAGGCCCCUCGUGAUUCAUGAGCCGUGGUACUGAUACAAGACAACUGCGCCGUUGAACUCAAAGAUCACGAAUAAUUUCAGUAAUCAGUAGCAACUUGUCUUGGCAGAUGAUAAACAUUUUUCCAAUCCCGUGCCAAAUCAAUUCAAUUGCUAACCCCUCAUAAAACGCUAGUAAAUUAUAAUGCGUAAGCAUGAUAGAAGCUUAAUGAACAUAAAUCAUACACCAUAAUCACACUAGUAAAUUAUAACGCUAGUAAACUGCUGCCUACAAAGUAACGUAACGAGCUGGUAUAACCACUGAAAUUUGCAUCAUAAUCACAAUAUAAAAAAAUACACUACACUAUAAAAUUAUUAUAAGAUCUCAAGAAUUCAUCCGAACAAAGCGAACCUUCCUUCUGUUUAUUCCUUUGUACACAAUCAAGCCCCCAAGAGCAAUUCAUCACUAUGCACAGUACAUGUACUGAUGUACACACAUUAUUAAACUUGAAGAAAUAACACGAAUCACAUGCUCCUGUAAACACACAGCACACUGUACGCUAACUGUUCACAUACUGCAAUGGCCGUACGCCUGAAUCGCUACAGGCAACGACGUACACGAGGCCUACGCUACGGAUACACUUGCACAAGACAAUACCGUAAUGCUCUGCUCCACUAGUCCAACGAGGCCAACGGAUUGACCCUGCCUGCCUGUAAUCGCGGCGACUCCUCUAAUUACUACGAAGCCCAACCGGGAACACGUACCGCUGGUCGAUUUCGCGGUCAGGCGGUGCCCUCGACGCGCGCCUUGGUGACGCCGGCGCAGGCGUCGACGAAGUCGCCGUCGAUGAAGUCGGUGGAGAACACCUGCAGCUUGUCGCCGAGGCCCUUGGCGAAGACCUCCGCGAUGAAGAGGCGCGCGUACCCGUGGAUGCGCUUGGUGACCGGCCACACGCACAGCACCGGGUUGUCUGCCUUGGGCGUCACCGUGUUCUCCACCCGGUAGAAGAACCUCCGGUCCGCCACCGGCGGCUGCUGCCCCAGGAACUUGACGUUGCUCUCGAACUUGGUCUCCGGCAGGUCCGUGUCGAUCCAGUUGUCCUUGAGGUACCCCGCGCUCCACAGCGGCUCCCCGGGCUUGGGCGCCGGCGACUUGCGUGGCUUCCACACGCAGAUCACCCGCCGCGGGAGCAGCUCCGCGAUGGUCUUGUGGAACACCGCCUCGUCCUGCGGGAUCAGGUUCUCCUCCCCGAGCUUCUCCACCAGGAACUUGGCGAACUCGGGCGGGUCCUCGUGCCCGAACUCUGUGCGCACCUCGAGGAUGACCACCUCCUGCUCGGUCUCGCCCAGGAACCGCCUCACGUCGUCGAGCACGACGUCGACGGGGUACGUGGCCAGGAUGCCGUGGCAGACGCGGCGCUCCUCCUGGACGCGCACGUCGAUGACGCGCGUGCCCAUGGACAGCUGCUCGUACACGGACAUGGACUGGCACCGCGCGAAGGGGCGGGUCACCAGCGGGACGCCGAUCUUGUUGGUGGCCGAGUCGUGGGUGCCCGGCCACACCACCUGGUGCACGCGCACCCUGUCGGCGCCCAGCUCCGCCAUCCACUUCUUCCGGUCCGCCGGCCGGUGGUCGGAGCCCGGGAACGUGUCGCCGGACGACGACAGGCGCGUGGCCAGCGCCUGCUUCUCGGUGGUGACCAGCUUCCGCCGGUCGACCUGCUUCGCGAAGAAGGCGCCCAUGGCUUCCAGCGGGUUGGUGCCGUUCUUGCCAGAGCUGCUGCUAUUGGAGGCGGCCAUUAUAAAUAUAGGAUCCUCGCCUCGAGCUCUGACCUGGACGACGACGUCGCUGUAAGCUGGGGAUCGAUUGAUUGAUAGCAAGACAAACAAGGAAGAAUAUAUCAGCGCGCGGGGUUAGCCAGCCAACAUGUGGCGAUGGUUGAUUUGUAGGGGCUUUGGCCUUGGCUGAUCGAUCCGGAUCGGAGGAGGAACGGGGAAGCGAGGCGUGGUGUUCUUGCGAGCUCCGCAGCUGUUUCCUCAAAGAUUUCGGUUUCGUUGGAUGGUCCGAUUGGCGUUAGGUGAGGCUAUGCUGCUGCCUGCUGGGAACCGAUGGCAGGCCGGCCGAGAUUUUUUUUUUUUUGUUUUGGCUUGCAAGUUACAAGAAGAGAUGGGGGUUUGGUUCGCUGCUCACUCGUUCGGACCAUGGAGUGCUUGUGUUUUUUAUGGCGAGACAGUGACCAGAUCGGGGCCACAAGGACAGGGACAGGCGCAUCAUGGACGGACGGACACGCCGUGUUAUUGGCGGCCUGGCGGUUGCUGGAAUAAUUUGUCGGGCAAAUGCGGGAAACUUUUGUGGACGCGGAUGGAAAAGUCACCCAUCAGGCCGGGGUUGUACAAUGGCCUAUGCCCAUGUGAUCUAUCGGCAGACAUGCUUGGAUAGUUGGAUACUGGAUACGCCGCACCUUGUCAGUGACGCGAGAGCCUCAUCUCGACGCGCAUGCAGAUUUAGCACAUGAUUCGUUUGCAUAAAUAGCACAGACGGAUUUUUUUUUUCUCAAAACAAAUGGUAGACACACAGACGGCCAGUAUUGGGAAUAACGCUUAAACGCUGCCUGUAGGCGACGGGAGCCUUUGAAUGCGAGACGCCAAACAUCACGAUGCCAAUCAAACUGGCACUAAUUGCCACGUUAGGCGCACGAUCCUUGUCCAGCCUGGGCCACGGGUGCACGGCACGUGUUUCGUUUAGAGCAACACGAUGUGUUGUGUCGCGAAGCAAAAAUUUAGCCAACUCCCUCAAUUAGUAGUGGAGAUUCGGGCCUUGCUCAAAUUUUGCGCACCAUCUCUUGGUUUGAUCUCAAAAUUUGGCCUUGCUCAGACUAUUUGCAAAGCUAAAACGGAGUGGAAAUUGGAGCGAGCAACAGAUCCUCCCAUCUUUCAGAGGCGAUUCAGUUUCUGGUAGAUGAGGCGUAAACCAUACGAGGCUCAUCAUUCUUAUUCCAUGAACAGUUUUUUAAGCCCACCACACCAUAGAAUACCAAAAAGGAUCAAAACUAAUACUGAGUGGAGUAGCUUUCAAGUCAGCCGGAGCUCAGCUUCCUGCUUCCAAUCAUUUGACUAGCACGGGUUCGAGUCACAGCUUGUGCUCCGCGUUCAACUGCUUCCAACGAGAUACACAUUGGACGUACACAACAACACAUCCCUCCGUCAAUCAUGCAACGGUAGUUGGUUACUCGGACUUCCACGUGGACUUACACUAUUUCGAGCAAUCAAGCUCAUCAUGCCUUCCACGUGGACGCGGGCUCAGGCGCUCGGCAAAGAACUUUCAGAACAAUGCGGAGAUCAAUGAGGGGAACAGUUUCUUGCCCAGUCCUAAAUCCAGGUCAAUGUAGGUGCGAGGCCAGAUAACACAGAGACACAAGGGAAAUCUCUUGGCUCCGAUCCAAUUCUCCAGUUACUUUGGCUGUGUUAUUUUACCUGACAUUCUAUCCGACCGAAAAAAAAGCUAUAUCAAGGACAGUGUCAAUUCUCCAGUAGAGCUGAAUUCUCUGCAAAUGGUUGUUGGAAUAGGCUAGGACAGUGUCAACUGUUUUGUAAUAUAUGCCAUAUCCCAUCGUUUUGAAAAGGGAAGAAAUAAAACCAAUCAUGGAAUGAAUGACACCUGGUGGAAAUGAAUAAAUAGUUCUCUUCUUAUAAGUAUUGGAAAGAGAACGUACCAGUCGCUCUCCCUGCGCAACUGGCACUUUAUUUCUUGAGAGAGAUGAGCAGCAACACAAUAAACUACUAGCGUGAUUUAUAGUCUUAUAAUGCCCACAGUGGCUGCCAUACGAAACAUGGCUACAGGAUAAACUUCUGUUGAUUUCGUCAGAUUUCUCCACUAGUAGUCAUUUGUCUAUUAGGAAUUUGCAUAAGCUGGUCGUGAAGAUAAGCUAACCAACCAGGAGGGUAAAAAAUGAAGAGAAUGCUGAGAUGCUAUUUGAUUGUUAGCCAACCAAUGGAAGGCCACAUUUUGUUAGUGUUACAAGUUUACAACAACCAACUAAAUACAGUGUUAAAAUAUAUACCUGCCUAGGGGAAAAUUAUUGCUGAUUAAAAGAAUAGCUCCUCCCCACAAGCAUAUCACAGCAUCAUCAGCAUGUUAGGACAAAGUGAUGGACCAGACUUACAGGAAGCAGAAUGUCCUGGACUCCUGGUUAAAAUUCACAGUUAGCAGUUUGCACAAAUCUACAUUAAAUUGUCCAAGUCUGACAAAAGCACACGGUGCGAGUAAAUUCUUUCACCUGAAAGGGGGAACCGUCACAAGCGCUUCUCUUUAGAUUUUACAGGUGCCCACUGAAAGUGGCCACAAUUUGCUUCUUUAUUUGAUGCAGGUCCCUUGACAAAACACAACAAGUGAUGGCCACAGUAAGAUAAUAAUGCGUUACAUUCUGUAAAACAACAUUUAACAUUGUUCGCAGCCUAUUUGAUUGUUCAACUGAUGUCAUGAUGUCCACUGAGCAGUAAAAUGUGAAUAUAUAUGAGCAGUAAAAUGUGAAUAUAUAUGUACCUGAGCACGAGGACAGACAUAGAAUAAGCGGCCUAUAUUAGGGCCCUUCUUCACAGACCUUGGAAUACAUGGUUCACGAUGUCCUUUGCAACGUGGCAGUGUCAUCUUCAUCUUUUGUUGUAUUCUUUGCCACUCUAAUGCUGCAGCAUUAGACUUGUCUGUCGAAAUUGAACAGGAUGGUAUAUUUGUGUUAUCCUGAUCUUCCGCAGCUGAAGUUGUACACUGCAUGUUUUCUGGCAGACUAUCAUCAUUUGGAACACAUGUUUGAUUGGUAUGGUGUACUGUUUCCACUGGAGUAACUAAGGUACUGAUGCUGACAUUUACUGUCUUUGGCCCUGGUUGUUGAAAAAAUGACUUGAUUGUUGGUUGAGAGGAUAAGUUGCGUUUAAGCUUCUUGUUUGGCACAGACUUGGUGCCAGACGGUGAAGUUUUCUGGCUGUUAUAGGAGACGCCACUUAAUCCUUCAUUUCUCCAUUGAUCAGGAUUUGUCCCCUUACACAUCAAACUAGGAAGGUUACCACCUUUUGUAAGAUCAGUUAUACCAGCUGCCAGUCCUUCCUUAACUAUAGCUUUCUUUUCCAAGCCAUCACUAUAGUAGCUACCAUUUACUGUAUUCUCAGACAGAACCAAAUUUCCAUCAUCUUGCAGCUCAUAAGUUUUCCCCUUAUUGAAGAAUGAUACUGCAAAUUGUGACGACACAAGUGGUCAGUAUUAUGCACAAUAUACUUUAACUAGCACUCCUUCAUGCAAAGUGCACCUAAGUGUAACAUAGGGUUAGGUGGUAUAUACGACCAGAGCACUUGCCUUACCAAGUUACAAACUAUGCUGAACUGAAUAUUCAAAUAACAGCCUACAACACUAACUGUAAUGCACAGCAAAAUACGCUAUAGGGGUUUACUUUCUGAAAAGAGACAACCAAAGUGCCAACACAUAUUAGGAGUUCAGAAAUCGACAAUGAACAUCAGGAAAAUGUGAAAGAUGAUUUGCAAAUAUCAGUGUUUUAUUGACAUAAUUAAUGUAUCUGUAAGAAAGCCAAAGUCCUGAAGCAAGUUAUGGUUUCCUUUACAUGAAAGUGAUGAAGGGAGGUUGCUUUAACCAAAUUUUCCAUGAAAAGAAAUAUACAUAGCCUAAGAUGCAUGCAAAUUAUUAAAACAAGAUAAAAAGAAUAUUCACAGAUACGUUAUGUGACACAGAACAGUUUCAUGAACACUGACUUCAGCUACUUUAGCACAACAAACACUACAUACAACCUGGUUUUAGUACAUCCACUGAAAGGUGCAAAAGCAAGUUACAAUAAAAAUCUUACAGAGCACUAAAUUCACUCACCAAUACUCUGCUGUCGUCCACGGACCUCUGGAAGAUAUCUUGCAGCUGAUGGUGGGAUAUUAUGAACUGGAAGUUCAGGAAUUUCUUUCAGUAAAAUAUAAACUGGAAUAUGAUCGGAUCCUUCUAGCUUACUACUUCUCCCCCCUUUCCACCUGUAGACAAUGGAUAGAGUAAAUUAUUCCAAUGUAACACCGCAAAUCAUGUAUAUUAUCCACUUUUCUCAGAGAAGAAUUGAUUUCCACUAUUCUUUACUUUGACAAACUUUCAGAAUUCCCUCUUUUGAAAUGAUUCAUUAUCUCACAUUCUUCUACAUGGCAACAAAAAAUGCUAUGAUCCUCCACAGCAUUGCAAUGAUGGAGACAGGCGCCGGAAAUGAGAAUGUGGUCUAUUCUAGAACCGUAAUUAUACUCUUCAGCACCAAUUUUUUGAUUAAAACAAGUAUAUGCUCCUGUCCUGCAUAAACGAAAAGCAGCAAAGUUAGAACAGCGAAGUACAGGUAACAUUGUAAUUUUGUGGGAGGAAUCUACCACAGGUUUAUAAGUCAACCAUGGAGAAGGAAAAUAGAGUAAACUCAAACCUCAUUGUUGCAAAGAGGAAUCCAAUUUGAUCAGUGUAAUGGUGUCAGUUUUCAGUAAAAAUAGAAAAAAAAUCACCCCCCGGGAGAGACGUCCCAUGGGCUGAAUAUGAGCAACUAGUAAUAACAAAUCAAGAGCACAAGCGGUUGCAGUAGCUCCGUAGCACGUUUCAUAAACAUGAAUGAAUGAAUGGUUUCCAGUACCUUUCAGGGUGUUUCGAUCUAAAAGCAUCGAAAAAGGGACCUCCAUGUUCUCUCAGCAUGGAUCUCAGCCAUUCUCGGAACCUUAAUUAGGAAAAGGAUGAUAAAACAGUGUUUUUAUCCCCAAAUGCUUCUUAAAUGGAACCUAGCAGAAAUCACUAAAAUUAAGUAAAAAAGGCUUACAUUUGCUUCUCAAAACCAGGCAGCGCAUCACACCUAUCUAUUGAAGCAGGAGCAAUAUUCAAAUCACCAACAACAAAGACUCUCUUUCCAAGUGCCAGCAGAUAUUCCCAUCGUUUCUAAGAGGCAUCGAAAAAAUAAGCAAGUAUAAGAAGCAUACCAUAGACUAAGUAAUAAACAUAUGAGAAACAAAAGUAUUGUUGAAAUAUUCCAUACUUAUUAAAAGAGAUGCACACAGAGUACCUGCAGUAUCUUAUAAAAUAGUAGCUUAAAACGAACCCGCUCUUUAUCAUCUUCUUCGACAGCUGGGCCAUAUAUGUUGAAAAGAACUACACAGAUGGCGCAACACUAUCAUUACAUACGGAGAAGAAAUUGUCUAUGCAACAAAAUAAAACUGAAAUAACAGUGUGGCAAUUACGUUGUGUUCCUUUCAGGACAACAAUCUACUUACCAAAAUGUCCGUGAUCGGUGAUGAUGCACCGCCCCUCAUUGUCUACCCUUAGCAGGUCUUCUCUUGUGAUUUCACCAAGGCCCUCCUCCGCUACAGGAGUUGCAAUAACAAAAUCCCCCAAAAUUUCGCUGUUUCUUGCAUAGUCGUGAAGUCCAGUAAAGCCUUCUUCAGCUGCUACUGGCAAAGCAACCUCCUGGCUGGAAAAUGCUGAUGUUACUCGGCAAAAUGUUGCAACACCUACAAAGGAGCCAAGUUUGGUAAUUAACUGAUUGAGGACAUGAUAUGAUGAAAGCCACAUUGAACCAAUAGAACAUCUCCAACUAGAAAAUUAAAUAUGCAUCAGCAGGGUGCAAACUAACCUAGUUGGGUGAUUCUAAAUAACGAUAAUGGCACCAUAACACAAUACCAGAGUAUGCUCCACGCCCUUUAGCAGAGCGAUUGCACGAAACAAAAGCCUCGUAUCCUUCAGCCAUUAUGACAUCUGCAGACAGGUCCUGCCUCGACAAUUUGGUCUCCUACAUACAACGCAGAAGGCAUUGAUACAGUUUGGCAAAUGAAUCACAAACCAAUCCCCAUUUCACCCAGUUUUACUAUUUGCAUUUGACUGAACAAACGAUCCAAUAACAUCCCACCACAGAACCGACAAUUUGAUCAGCAUUAAACGAGAUACACUAAUUUUUUUCUGAAAUCAAGUGGUAAUCGCAAUAAACUUCACACUUGCUCAUUUGCACUCUGUGUAAUAUGCAGUGCAAUAUCGGCCUUCACCUUCAGUGGGGGUCGAACAGUAAGUGAUAAGCACAGGCAGGUAGGAGCUACUGAGCUAGGGUUUCGAAACAUGGCUGGCUCAGUUCGGCGAGUGGGGAAUCGGCAAUCGGCCUGACCUGGAAGCAGAUGAUGUCGGCGUCGAGGGCGUCGAGGAGGCGGCGGAGCGACCCGUGCUGCGCCACCCGCGGCCGCAGCCCGUUCACGUUGUACGUCACUAUCUUCACCAUCUCCCGCCGCUACGCGGAGGCACGAGAGGGAAACGCUUCGCUCUUCUCGGGAGCGGGUGCGGGGACGAAGAGGCCGACGGCCGGUGCCGCCGCGCCGGUGGCGACGGAGAUUGGGGACUCUGUGUGUGCCCGGGUGAAGAGUCCGCGGUCCCGACACGACCCGGCGGCGGCAGGCGAUCAGGUGCGGCUCGGGCCCUCGCGACUGACGGCAGCCGUCCGAUGGGAGUGGCAAGGCUGAGAUCUAAAGUUUAGGAUGGUGUGUCCAAAUACUUGAUACUAAUUAUAUUUGAUACUAAUUAUAAAUAUUAAACAUAGAUAAAUUAUAAAACUAAUUGCACGGAUGGAUUCUAAUUUGCGGGACGAAUCUAUUAAGCCUAAUUUGCUAAUGAUGGAUUAAUUAGGCUUAAUAGAUUCGUCUCGCGAAUUAGUAUAGGGGUUGUGCAGUUAGUUUUAUAAUUAGCUCAUGUUUAAUCCUCCUAAUUAGCAUCUGAACAUCCGAUGUGAGAGCAACUCUAAGAGUUUCCCAAAAAGUUCUUUCCUAAAACUAUAUAUUGGGGGCUCUUCCAUAAAUUUUCCCCCAAAAAACAUAUCAACCGACAGUAAAUCGUUAAUAAUUAGCCCUCAAUAUUUCAAAACAGGCAACACCAUUAUAAUUAGACCUAACGCGGCACCUCCCUGCUCUCUCCCCGUCUCAUUCUUUCUUUUUCUUCCUCCAACCGAAGAAGAACUGAAACAGAGUGCGGCCGUGAGCUUCCCCAAUCACGGAGCGGAGCAGAGGACAAAGACCACCCCGGCAACCUCAUCGUCAACGUCGUCAAUCACCUGCACGGGCCCUUCCUCCUCACCUGGAACGGCAUCAAGCAGCGCAAGAACAUCGUGGCUCGCUAUUUGCAAGGCGAGGGCAUGGAAGCCAUGGACGGGCUUCCGUGCAGGGAUGGACGACUUCUUGUCUCGCUUCGCCGUGACUGACGAGCACGGUGACAAGAGCAUACGGCCGCGAUGGCGCGACGCGGACACCAGCUUCCUCCUCGCCAUGUGCGAACGCCACACGACGCCGUCGGCGCCCUUACGUGGUUUGUCUGGUGAGUCUCCACCGAGCCCGGCCGGCGGGGAGGACGAGGUCGUGCGCUAGAUCGCGUCACGUCGCUCUCGCGCCGCCGCGUUGUGGAACUCUUGCUUUUCGCUCGCUGGUUGCAGCACACUGUGGCCAUGGCCACCGGCUGUCGCACGAUGCAUGCAGGCCGGCGUCUGAUGAGGCCACAUGCACCGUGCCCGGACACUCUCGGCUUUUACCGGCGAAACUAUGACCACAGUGCAUCCACGUAGGUAGGCUACCUCGCCCGACGUCGUGGCGGCCGCGACCACAGCACGUCCCUUCCAGAUGACGCGCUGCAGGAAAUUUCGGGAUUGGGGAAGAAUCGACCCCCCAUAUAUGCGGGGCGACGAAGAUGUUUUUAGCGUCCGCGUAUGUUUAUAGGAGGGAUUGGGAAGCUGUUGAAGGUAAAUUUUAUUUGUUUUUCCUCUAAAUAGGUAAUUUUAAGGGAGCUCUUGGAGUUGCCACAACACCCCUAAGUUUAACGAGCACCGGUAACGAGCGGUUGCUGUACAUGCGGGCGAAAGCGACGGGUGCGCAGUACGCCUACGGCGCACUAGUGCCUGCCGCACUGGCGUCGCCGGCCGCCUCGCCGGUCGCACCUCUCGCCGUCGCGGGUCACUGCCAGCGACUCGGCUGGCUGUGUGCCAUUUCUACCACGGCAGAGGUAGCUCGUGCUCGCAGUUGCAGGUAGGCGCCGGAGAACCGAUCAAUUGCUGCGCUGGUCGCGCUCGCGCUCGGUCGUUGGCAACUUGACACGCGCAGCCUUGGACGGAGCAACCCCGUCCUGUCGUCCUCGGCUCCUCGCAUCAUGGAUAAGAAAUCAAGAAUCCAUUCCCUUCGCUUGCACUGACCAGGCCGGCAUGGCACGCGCUUCACUUCCCACUCAUCCGUUCCCCUCCGGAGAAAAAGAAAGAAAGAAACGCGCUUGACAGCGCAACGCCGGGACUUGUUUAACAGCCGGUGAGCGAUCGCGGAUCUGCUCGCCGCUGUCCUCGCAACGAUCGUUGGUCCGCACGGAGAAAACCAGUAGCAUUAACAACUGUUUCCGCACAUGCUGCGAUAAGCAGCAGUAGGGUUGUAGCCCGUAGCCGUAAUGCCGUGUGGGAUCUGAAACAUGGACAGAGAUUUUUUUUUUUUUACAAUUCACGGGUAAACUUAGCCUAUACUAGUAGUAGUGUACAGCAUCAUGUGGGAGACGUGAGACUUUCUUUGUUUGUUUACAUGCUGGAGUUCGUUCUGUUUGGCCACGUCCGCCGGCGACUUUUUUCAGUUUUCUCCGGCCUCCUGUCGCCGUCGCCGUCCUUCUCUGUGCGGUACUACGCUCGUUUGGUGCUCUGGGCACGCCGCUUGCAUCGUCUUCCUUCUUGCGCUGCGCCCCACAAUGAAAAAGGUUGCGGUGGGUGGCGGACAGCGACGCUGCUCGUCCGGAGCUUUGUUCGGCCGUUGGUACGUGCCAAGCCGAAGAAGUGGCGUUGUCCAUCCCAUCCGUCCGGACAUGGGCCUUUUCCGUCUGAAAUCGAGGAUCAGGAUUGUGGUGGUGAUGUCGACUUCGGGAUUAAAGAACGGCUAUGCGCUCCUCCGUUUCCACUUGGCUGGCUCACACUCCACUCCACUCCCUCUCUGUAGGAAGAAAUGGUUUAGGAGAGUGUGCGGUUAAUCAAUCACAAGUUCGGCAUAUAGUUAGUUAUCUUUGAAUGCAUUUAGAUCGCUCAACAUGGAAAUUGCAUGUAUGGUUUCUUUGAAAAAAAAAUGAAGUAACACCAUAAUUUCAUUUGGUUUGAGAAAUGAGUGGUCAAAUUUGUGUUCUCCAGAUGGUUCCGUUUUAAAUGCAAUGUUGAUUUUCACCUCUGGGCUCCUAUAAUUUAUUUAUAAAAUAAUAUAAUAGUUUGCCAAAAUGUGUGUCGCGUGUUCUUUAUGAUGAAUUAAAAAUGGAUCGUGGCUAUUAUUAGGGCUUGUUUGGUAGAACUCUGGCUAAAUAUUCCAGCUCCAGCUUCUCUAAUGGAGCGACUUCUCUAAUGGAGAUGAAACUUUUUGAAAAUGUUUGGCAAAAUGACUCCUCCUGUGUUUUUGGAAUGUACGGGAGAUGUCAAUGUUUAAAUUAUCCCUAACUAUUUGAUUUGGUUGUGUAGACAACAAAAUAAUUAGGAAUUUAACCAAUAAUUUCUCUUUUAAUUUUUAUAUUUUUCCGUUCCUUUUUCUUUUUUCUACCUUCCUUUUUCCAUCUUACUUCUCUCUGCUUUAUUCUUUCUUAUCCGUUCAUUUUGACUCUUUUCUAUCUCUUCACUGUGGCGCACUCGCCUAGCUCCAUGGCGCCGCUUUGACCUGCCCCGCAACGCAUCGCAUCCUCCGUCCCUCGCCAUGUGUGCUGCUGGCUACUACCCCACGUCUGCCGCUGCCCCGAGCAUGCUGCUCCGUCGUUGCUCCCCAACCACGCGAGGGAUCCAAUGCUGUCAGGCGAGGCCGGCCGAGCACCGGCCACCGGGCCAAGUGCUCGCGCCGCCGACGGGCUGCGCCUCUUGUUUGCAGCUUGAGAAGAACGACAGUGCGCCAGGUGUGGUAGCGGGGUUGGGUUGCAGUGGCUUUUUUGGGUGUAAUUUUCAUGAACGUCAGGGGCAAUUUAGUAACAGUGCAUUAGUAGGAGCCGCACGGAGCCAGUAUUUUUUGCUCCGACUGCCUAGUGGUGCUUCACAUGGGAAGCUCUUUUCUAUUUGUCCAUUUGGUAGAGCUGCUCAAUAAGCCGGAACUGAAACCUGUCAAAAAGCUUUACCAAAGGAGCCCUCAGUCAUUUCCUAAUCAUCACGAGCCUGAUUAAGAAAGGACUCUAUUGCUAGGAUGGAUCGCGAGAUUUUUGCAGCGACUAGGCAAUACCUUGUUUUUGUCGAUGGACAACAGCUCUUGAUACAGGUUUUUCCUUUAUGACAAAUGGAUUUCUCCACUUGAUUCAUUGAAGGAACAAAUGGAAUUGUUUCAUGCUAGAUGGCUAAUAUUAAUUUCCAUAUAUAAUAGUGACAUUUCAUUAGCUGUAACCAUUCAAUGAUACCAAACCAUUUGGAUAUCAAGCAGCAUGAAAAAGAUUAGGCGUGUUUGGUGUGAUCUAUAAUAUCUGAAGUUUGUAGCGUACAUUAAAUAAGUCGAAAUCAACCAUUCAUAUGAGAAAAUAAAUAGUUCUGAUAUGAAAUGAAAAUCAGAUCUCACGAAUGUUGUUGGAUCUGAAGCAUGGCAAAUAAGUGACGGGCUCAAUCAGCAAAACACACACACACACACACAAAGUCGUUAAUAACAGGCACAUUCCCAUCUAACGCAUCUUAUAAACUCUACAAAUAUGCAUCUCAGCAUCUGAAUCACAAAUGCAACUCGUCUGCGGUGUGCCAAACCUGCCUGCCUGCAACUGCAAAUGUGCGAUGCAGUAACCCGAUGGAUCCCAGAGGAGGACGGGCAGGACGCCUCCCUCCACGUGGUGCGGCACCUAACAUUCAGCCCGGCACGUCGCCAGCCAGAGUGCCAGACCCAGCCACUGCCAGCCAGGCAGUAGCCAGCCAGCCAACCACCCCCGAUGCCGCCCGAACCGAUGGAUUCCAUUCCAUUCCUCGGCGCGGAGCCGGUAGCCAGCCGCAUUGACCCCGCACGCACCGGCACCGCACAGGCGCACACCCGGGGCGAAACCCCGCAAAACCGACGCGAAUAUAGCGCAGGACACCGCGCCGGGACACGACGGCCGUUGCUGCCGUCCGUCCCGUGGCCUUCGCGGCCUGCAGCCAGCUCAGGCGCGCACGCGCACGCACGCGCGCGCGGCCAACCCGGCCGUCCCCCAAAAAAACCAAAACCAAUGCCAAAUUAACUCCCCACCACCACCGCCCCGCGGCUCCCACCCCCCCGUUCUCCUCCUCUUCCCUCCUCCCCCUCCUCCGAUUCCCCCCAAUUUCCCAACCCUGCGGAGGAGGCAGGGAGGAAGGCCGGACCCCAACAGCCCGCCCACCGCACCGCCGCUGCGGACCGGGCCCGUUGCCGGCCGCCAUUCGGGUGCCUGACCGCGGCGACAGGGGGGAGCGUCGCGUCGCGUCCCGCCGCCGGCCGAGAUGGAUGACCUCAAGCAGAUCCUGGCGCGGCCGAUCCAGCUCGCCGAGCAGGUAAUAAAGUGGUCCGACGAGGCCUACACGUUCCGGCAGGAGUGCAUGGAGCUCAAGGCCAAGGUCGAGCGCCUCGCCGGCCUGCUCCGCCAGGCCGCGCGCGCCGACCUCUACGAGCGCCCCGCGCGCCGCAUCUUCGACGACACCGAGAAGGCGCUCGACAAGGCGCUCGCCCUCGUCGACAAGUGCCGCGCCCACGGCCUCGUCCGCCGCGUCUUCACCAUCAUCCCCGCUGGCUCCUUCAAGAAGAUGACCAACCAGCUCGACAACUCCAUCGGCGACCUCUCCUGGCUCCUCCGCGUCUCCUCCUCCGCCAACGACGACGAUGACUUCGACGCCCACAUCGGACUCCCGCCCAUCGCGCAGAACGAGCCCAUCCUCUUCCUCAUCUGGGAGCAAAUCGCCGUGCUCUACACCGGCAACCUCGACGCCCGCGCCGACGCCGCCGCCAACCUCGUCUCGCUCGCGCGCGACAAUGACAGGUACUCCAAGCUCAUCAUAGAGGAGGACGGUGUGCCGCCGCUGCUCAAGCUCGUCAAGGAGGGCCGCCUCGAGGGACAGGAGAACGCCGCGCACGCCGUCGGCCUCCUCGGCCGCGACCCGGAGUGCGUCGAGCAGAUGGUGCAAGCCGGUGCGUGCCUCGCCUUCGCCAAGGUGCUCAAGGAGGGGCCCAUGAAGGUGCAGGCCACGGUGGCCUGGGCCGUCUCGGAGCUCGCUGCCAACCACCCCAAGUGCCAGGACGCCUUCGCGCAGCACAACGUGAUCCGGCUGCUCGUCGGCCACCUCGCCUUCGAGACAGUGCAGGAGCACUCCAAGUACGCCAUCACGUCCAAGAUGUCCAUACAUGCCGUGGUCAUGGACAAAAAGAACAGCACCGGUUCAGGUUCGGCAGACUUGCUGGAUGCCGCAGACCACAGCACCAUGAGGUACCCGACGGGGCACGCUUCGCAGAGCAAGAAUGAGAUGCACAGUUUGGUGCAGUCCACCAUGGCUGCCAAGUCUAAUGGAGGCAGUGGUAAGCACGUAGCUACUACUACUAAUGGUGGUGUUGUGGCAACGAAGCAGCACAAUGCGUCAUUGUCAGGAACGAGUACAAGGGGCAGGGAGUUCGAGGACCCUGAGACAAAGGCAUUAAUGAAAGCCAAUGCUGCAAAGGCAUUGUGGCAGCUCGCCAAGGGCAAUGCAGCUAUCUGUAAGAGCAUCACAGAGUCAAGGGCUCUGCUCUGCUUUGCGGUUCUUCUUGAGAAAGGUGAAGGUGAUGUGCAAUAUAAUUCUUCUAUGGCUCUCAUGGAGAUCUGCUGUGUCGCCGAGCAGAAUUCUGACCUGAGACGAUCAGCAUUCAAGCCAACUUCUCCUGCUGCCCGGGCUGUUGUUGACCAGCUCCUACGUGUUGUCGAGAAGGCUGAAUAUGACGAUCUCCUAAUUCCCUGCAUUAUGUCUCUAGGUUGCUUGUCCAGAACCUUCCGUGCUACAGAGACUCGGAUUAUUGGACCAUUGGUGAAGCUUCUUGAUGAGAGGGAAGCAGAUGUCUCUCGAGAAGCAGCAAUUGCCCUGACCAAGUUUGCGUGCACAGAUAAUUACCUGCAUGUCGACCAUUCUAAAGCGAUCAUCAAUGCAGGCGGAGCAAAGCACCUAGUUCAGCUUGUGUACUUCAGUGAGCAAGUGGUUCAGAUUGCAUCACUCACCCUUGUAUGCUACAUUGCACACAAUGUUCCAGACAGUGAGGAGUUGGCACAAGCCGAAAUCCUCACGGUACUUGAAUGGGCUGCCAAGCAAGCUUACAUGAUGCAAGACCCGAUCAUCGAGAACUUGUUGCCAGAGGCAAAGAUCAGAUUGGAACUGUAUCAAUCCAGAGGCGCAAAAGGCUACCAUUAGAUUACCUGCUGUGGAAAGGCAUGAAGGAAGAAUUUUAAGGCGUUCUUCUUUGGAUUGGCCAAGUACUGUAUAUACAUCCAGCAGCUUCUAUGUAUACUCUUGCUAAACCUUUUUGAUCCCCAACAUGGCAAAAGCUGUUGAAGUUGCAUCUUUGGUUGGGUUCUCGAUACAGGGAAGUAUUUUUUUUGUUUGUAGGCUUGGAUGUUCAGAACUCCAGUUCCUCUUGUUGGUGGUAUAGUUUUGGGAGAUUAGCAUCUUGUACUCUCUUUGGCCUAAUGAUGUAUCGUGUAUAUUACAUUUCACUCGUUAAUCUGAAAAAUAUUCUUAAAUCCAAGAGCCUCAUAGUUUUCUUGAGUGUGACCUCAUGGUUUGCUUUGGCCUUUUCUUGUAGGUUGCGUUUGAAUUCAGAAAUUUGCUAAUUUUGUUUACUGUUCACUUCAUGACUAUGCACUCCAUUCCUUAUGCUUAAUGCUUAAUUGGAGAUCCUUAUCUUCUGACUAGUUGGCUUAUCUAUGAGAGAAAAUUUCUUGAAACCGAGAGCCUAACAUUUUUCUUGCAGAUGACCUCAUGGUUUUCUUGACGAUUUCUUGUAAGUAGCAUCUGAACAAAGAAGGUUGCAGUCAACUACAGUAUAGUUUACUGCAUGUUCAGUUUUCCAACUCUCAAUCUCAUGUUUUUUAUGCACUUACCUAUUUGACUUUGUCUCAGCAUCUGAAAAUGACAUUGUUGACUUGUCUCAGCAUCUGAAAAUGACAUUGUGAUUAGCACUACCAUGCUUGAGAAUGUAUGUGGCCUCCCAUUUAUUUCAUAUGUCAUCUUUCAUAUUAGUGUAUUACUGCACAUGUGAGUAUGUUUAUAUUGGGGUAAUUCUAAUGUUGUGGAGGCUAUGGCUGGAGGUGGAUGAAUAUUCUUUUUUUUUUGAAACUUGGGUGGAUGAAUAUUCUCAUGUUCUGAAAUAGUAGCAUUUGGCUCUGAUUCUCUGAUGGCUGGCUGUGGCCCUGUUUUCAUGUCAUACAGCUAGCUCCAUACACAGUACAAGAACAGUAUUUUCUUCAUAACUUUCAUGUGAGACUAAUCUGGAUGUAACCUGCCUAGUAUUUGCUAACUCUUAGUGUGCCCCUUUGUUCAGUCCAGACAAAAGAUGGUCAGUUUCUUGUUAUGUGAUGUGACCUGUUGAUCAAUUAUUGCUGACCAAAAAAGUCUCAACAGGACCAGCAGAUCUUUUGUAGUUUCCCUAUAAUUGGUCCAUGGAUCCAAGAUAGGAUCAACUUUUUCGGUGCAUGAACCAUGUUCAGGUGUUCAUCUUUGUCUAUAUCUUUUUGGUGCAUGCAUCCAUUUUGGAUCUCAGUCUCAUUCCAUAAUCCAGCUUUUCUAUCUUUUUCCUUGCCAUGCAGACCAGGUCCUCCUCCGUUGUCCACAGUAGCAGAUGGUCCUAUCCCACGGCAGGAACUGGAUGUGUACGAGUGCAGGUAGCGUGACCACCAUGUGGAGCUCGUCCGUUCUUCACAGUGCCAAUGUCUGGCCUGUUCAUGAUUUGAUAGUUUCAUGCUUUCGUGGACCCGUCAUGCCAACUCGACUAUUCCGAUCGGUGAGGUGCUGGUCCACCAUCUCCGAUGAACAUGGCUGUGUUCUUGACUGUUUUCUCAACGUUUUGAUUGCAGUUUUCAGUUUGACGGUUUCAUUUCCUCGAGCAAAGAAUGUCUGACUGCCAAAGCCCGGGCCUCUGAAUCUUUUAUGUCUUAUAACUGGGAAUCGUCAAAUGCAAAGCGCAAGUGGUUGUUGCGGUAGGAGAGAAGAUGAUGCUCUUGCGAACCAUGGGUUAGUUGGCGUGGUUCUUCGGUGGGUGACGCUGAUGGUUGUUUGUCUUGAUCUGCCAUUCGAUUGUUCAGUGUGUUGAGUAUAAUGUAAACGGGGCAGGCCGACAGGCAGCUAAUAGGUCGACGUGCCUACCACUAUAGCAGAUCAGAUAUGUCUUCACGACUGCUUUGUCAUGGUACUCUUGUUUUGUGCCAAUGUUCUGCUUCAAGACGGCUGCAGGACCUGUAAGCUUUGAUUCUUGUUCUUGGAGGUAGCCACGUGGUUUCGGUCGUACUAUACAUCCUCUCCUAAACGGUCUUGUCUGUUGUCUGCAAAGUUAUACUCCCUAUCAGAUGGAUUGUGAUUACAUUAGUGUUAAGAGCGUCUCCAAUUGUAUAAGUUAGCUGAUAGCUCAUAGUUGAUGUGGUCCUAUAUAGUUUUGAAGAUCGUGUUAGGAGAGAGAGUUGUAUCGAAAAGUGAGUGAGAUUCUUCAUUCUACGCUAGUCUCGUACUUAUUCUAACCUAGACUAUUGUGUGAGAGAGUAUUGCACUGUUUAACUGGUAAAACUCUAAGCUAGACUAUUGCUCAUAUCUAUUUGACUUCGCAUGUUUCUCCGUCCUCACCUUUUCUUUUUGAGUAAAUUCUCCGUCCUCAGUCCUCACCUGUCACCUGUUGAAAUCACAGCACGAUUCGGAUAUAACACUUGAGCAAGUUAGACUUGGGGCUGACACAAUGGUCCACAAUUGCAUCAUCUCCGGAGGGCUUCACUAGUGGGCCGAUAUUUAAUUAGUGCAGCAGUAGUAACUCGGGCUUUCCUUGUGACCACUCAAAGGGCCUGGGCUCGUUCGUGGUGUUCUUUUCGAAUGUUGUUGUUGUGUCAUCCCGCCGCCGUGUUUCUUUUUACGGUCAAAAGUACGUAGUAUGUACCAUAUAUACAUGUGAUUUUUUAAAAAAAACUGUAUGGCUGUAUACAUGGCAGGUGGUGGGUCCUGGUCUCCUCGACCCUGGUGUAGCGGCUAGCGGGGAGAUGAUCACACACAAAAUAGAAAAUACUCAUCGACCCAAUGAUGAGAACACACAGCCCAGCAAAAGAAAGAAAUUCUGAGCAUAGCAGGAGAAUCUCGCAAUUGUCUAGUAUUAAUCCCGUCAGGGAGUGGUUAGAACAAUGCACCUUUGAUUAAAAAAAUUCACGAUUUUCCCCCGAAAAUGUGGAUUGUACGGUCGGUUUAUUUUGUCUGCGGCACUCGUAAACAGGGCUGCCGUCCAUCUGAACUCAAGGCAAACAAACAAUUUGCGUGCGGCUGAUUUACUAAUAAACAAACAAGUACUCCCUCUGUUUAUCUUAUAGCACACUCAUAUCAAAAUUCAAACUUUACAAUUUUUGAUCAAUAAUUUAGUCAACUAUUUUUAUUUUUAUAAUAUAAACUUUAUAUGGUUAGAUUUGUAAUCAAAUGUACUCUCCAAUUAUUAUAAGUUUAUAACUAUAAAUAAUAGAAUGUAAGAUAAAUGAACGGUCAAAGUGUAAUCUAGGAGACCAUGUCAAGUUAUAUCACGCCUUAUAAAAAUAAACGAAGGGUGUACUGGCCAAAGUAAUCAUUGCUAGUUGUUUAUAGCAAAUAGAUUUGCAUAUAAAAAAUUUUAAAACCAUAUAUAACGGGAAGUACAUGUGUUUUUUUUUGAAUGGGAUGAUACAUGUGUUGAUUCGCUUGCAUAGCCUUUGUUGAUAUAAGAAGGAUGAGACCAUUAGAGCAAUUAAAGGGAAAAAAAUUAGGUAUGUGCACCGUGUUAAUUGCAGUUAUGGUGAUAUUUAUUAUUGUUAUUUAAAAAAGACUUAUGCCAUCGUUGUGUAAAUUUGUUCCCUUUGUUCCACUGCGAUAGUGCCAAAACUUGUUCAAUUUAUGCCGCUUGAAUUAGUAUGCCAACAGUAUAAGUAGAGCUUGAGUCUAAAUUUUACAUAAGCAAUGGCACGAUGUUUAAACUGUAACUGACAUAGUGGCACAAACCUGAUUCUUCCAAGAUUAAAUCAUACUACCUGUAUCCCAAAAUAUAGCAACGUUUAGGUUUGCCCAAAAUUAAACUUCUUAACUUUGACCAAAAGUAUUUUAAAAAUAAUUCAUUUUAAAUAGAAAAUAUUAUAUGAUAGUUGGUUUCGUGUUGAAUAUGUUAAACUAGCUUUUGUGUUUAUGAGUUUUGCUAUUUAUAGUCAAAGUUUAAAAUAUUUGACUAAGGACAAACGUAAAUGUACUUAUAUUAUGGGACGAGAGAUGCAUAAACUGAAAAAAAAAUACCACGGCACGUAAUGCUGACAAAAUGAGCUCUAGGUCACCCUGCAAAAAACAAAAAAAGAAAGAAGAAAAAAGUGAGCUCGAAGUCCACCUGUCAGAAAAAACGCAUAUGCCAAUUCCCAACUCACAUGAACUAGUGAUGAUACGGAGCAAUUUGGCCCAAAGACAAAACACUUUGUGUAGCUUUGCUUUUAGCAAAUAGUUCACGAGCUCUAUCUCAAAUACAGGAAGAAGAACACGAGCUGUUGCAGGCAAAAAAGGUAGAACACUCCAUGGAAAUGGAGUCCUGAACUGUCGUCAAUAGAAUUUGCAACUAAAAUGAGCUGCACUUGCGUCUGUCAGAGUGUAAGAUGGAAGCAGCGUGUAAUUAAGUAGUGAUCGCAGAGAUGGGAUGAAAAUGAAAUACGACUUUGGGCAAAUGCAGAUGCCGAUUUACGCACACUUGGCGGCGAAUUCGGAGCUCCCUCAGUGAGAUUCUCCACCGCGAAUCCCGCUUGCCGCCCGCCCUGGGAUAACGAAUGUCUCUGCAGCCCCACACAUGGACACGGCGCAUCUCCUCUAGAUUCACAACGCCCGUGUUCCUCUCCCGGUUCAAAGCACUCGCUUCAAGCUACUGUAAAGCCGAAGCGGAUCGGCGAUCUAGCGUAAAGCAACCAUGGUAAAAACUGCAAGUGAUCAUCAUUAGAAAUUUAGAAGUAGAAUCAGACGGCGCAGCGGAUCGGUAAUUAUGCAUGCUUGGUAGCAGGUUUAUCUCUCUUUCCAUCUUCCAUUCGCAGAUGGAGAUGGGCGCGCACGGCGCACAUGAGUCGCGCUGACAACUGACGCAAACCACGUGGAUGCCCCCGAUUGGGAGCUGCCCACUCGAACGUUGAGCCAGCUGCAUCAAGAUUCAAGGCCAGUGCCAGAGGCGCCACGAGACAGCGCUGUCCGAUGCAGUACUGCAGCAGCCGGCUGCCGCAGCCCGCUCCUAUGGUUGGCGCCUUGGCGGGCACAGGAGGAGUACAGGACAACCUGUUGACCGCUCACUGCGUCACUGACCCCUCUACACGCACCACCGUCCAUCACGAGCUCCCAUGUCCAAGCUCUCCUCAGAUCAGCUCCUCCUAUAAGUCGGCGCAUGAUUGCAUCGCUCCCUCUACAAAGUCCAAUCAAAUCAAGAACGAGACGCUGGGCGGCUAUAGCCAUCUCUCCUGUCUUCUGAUCUUGCUAGCCGUCUCUACCUUUCCGCAAUGGCGGCUCAUCUGCUGCUCUCGGUGUCUCUCCUUCUGAGCUCACUCACCGGUACCGCGACGACGUCCUCGACGACCUGUCGAUAGCCUUUUGCAUGCGUGGCGACGCGGGUGUGCAAUGCUGCGUGCUUACGGCGUCGUGUGUUGUUUGCUGUGUGCAGGGGCGGUGUCCACGACGUUCACGCUGACGAACUCCUGCGGCUACACGGUGUGGCCGGGGCUCCUGUCGAGCGCGGGGUCGCCGCCGCUCUCCACCACGGGCUUCGCGCUGGCGGCGGGGGAGUCCCGCUCCGUGGACGCGCCCCCGGCGUGGUCGGGCCGCAUCUGGGGCCGCACGCUCUGCGCCGCGGAUCCGGGCUCCGGCCGCUUCUCCUGCGCCACGGGCGAGUGCGGGUCCGGCGCGGUGGAGUGCGCGGGCGGCGGCGCCGCGCCGCCCACCACGCUCGCCGAGUUCACCCUCAACGGCGCCGGCGGGAUCGACUUCUACGACGUGAGCCUCGUCGACGGCUCGAACCUGCCGAUGGUGGUGGUGCCGCAGGGCGGCUCCGGGGCCACCUGCGGCGCCACGGGGUGCCUGGUGGACCUGAAUGGGCCGUGCCCCGCCGACCUGAAGGUGGCGGGCCCCGACGGCGCCGGCAUCGCCUGCAAGAGCGCGUGCGGCGCGUACGGGCGGCCCCAGGACUGCUGCAGCGGCGACUACGGCACCCCGGCGACGUGCCAGCCGUCGGCCAGCUCGCAGUUCUUCAAGAACGCGUGCCCGCGCGCCUACAGCUACGCCUACGACGACGCCACCUCGACCUUCACCUGCACGUCUGGCACCGUCAGUUACCUCAUCACGUUCUGCCCUAGCAUGUCCAGGUAAACACCCAUCCUAGAUAAUGCAAAGCUAUUAAGCAAUAGUACACGCCAUCAAUUACUAGUAGCUAGAGAAUGCCUUGUUGUACUCUUGCGUUGCGUACCAGACACUGCUUCGAUUCUGGAAAGCCCAGGCAGACGCGAAUCAUUGGCACGAACGUGCAUGGCCAUCAAUGAAACAGAUGUUUUGUUGAUCGAUGAUCAUGUACGCAUAUGAUCACCCGUAGGUUUAACGUUUUGUGCCACUAAAAUGAUAUCCUAACAAUGUACAUGACGGUUGGUACGAUAACAGAUCCUGUCACGUCCAUGUCCGUUGUUCCCGCUAACCAAACUCUUGUUUCCACUGCACCAGCCUCAAGUCGUCCGUGAGCAGCAGCGGGGCCGGCGCCAGCACGAACCCGUCAUCCGGCGGCCCGGGCCUGCCCCUGAUCAACGACACGGUCUCCUUCGCCGGGCGGGGCGACGGGUACUCCUCGUACCCCUACGCGUCCGCGUCCGUGUCGGCGCCGUCGCUGUCGGCCCCAUGCCCCCUCGCGCUCGUCGCGGCCGCCGCGCUCACAUGGCUCUGCGCCGCCCCGCGCCACCGGCUACGGUUGUAGAGCGAGCGACCGCCCCCACGCCGCCACGCGCAUGGGCCGUGGCACCGGGCGCGGUCGCUGCUGCUCCCCCGCGUCCAGGGGUGGUAGGGAGGCAGCGGCCAGCAGGCACGGCAGCCCUCGUGGAGCCGCGUGGCCGCCCAUGCGUCGGCCAUGUGCCGGCCGGCCCAGACGUUUUGACCUCGGGCCGUAGUGCUAAUUGUAUAGAGAGAGACUAAAAUCAUUGUGGAUCGGAGAGGGGUAGUAUGAUUUUUGCAAGCGAAGCAAGGUGGUCUCGGUACAGAGCUUGAUAUUGUUUAAUUAGGAUGGAGGGAGUACCCUCAAGAUCGAGAACUGAGAUUCCUUUUCGAGAUGGGUGAAUACACAGCAGAACAGAACAGAACCAGGUGGGUUGAGGACUUGGGGAAAUGUGUGCGCACGAUGGGUCGGUGGAUCACAAUCACAUGACUGGCAUGGGAUUAGCUUGUUUUCGUGGUCUCCGAAAAACUGAACCCCAGACCAUGGAUCGAUUGGAUGUUUAUUUUUUUGUUUUUCAUUUCUCUUAAACACAAAAAAUUUGGAUCGUGCCAUACUGGCAUGGGGUUGGUCUCUGAUCCUGGCGCGAGGACGGAGUUUAAACAAGUGCAGGGAUGGAUCUUGUUGGUUACUGCUUAUCUUGCACUCUUGCUCGGCGCCAGCAGAAAUGCAUUGCCACUUUACCAGUGUGAAAUCUGAUGGCACAGUUGCACUGACGGGUAUUGAGUAGUCACUGUCUGAUUCCGAUGCGAUUUUAUGAAUGCAGCGUACUACUCGGUACUCCUACAAGGUCGGCAGCAGAUCAGAUCAGCUCAGCUGGCUGCCUGCCUGCCUCAAAGCUGAAAAAAGGGCUGGGGAGCUAUAGGACUGUGUGUGUGUAUGUGUGUGUGGCUGGGUCCACCUAAUUAGGGCACGCUGCACUGCAUGCAUGCAUUCAGCAUUCAUAUGGCAGACGGCGGAUGCUGAUUCUUUUGUCCCUUGCACAGCUAGAGCGGAAAUAUUCACCACCCACCAGUAAAAUCCAGCAACCACUGACUCUUUUGACUCCUGUUUGUUGGUACUACUACUGUACCGUGCUUGCAAGGGUCGAUGUCGACUUGACAUCCACAAUUCGCAAGGAAAACUUGUUUGGGAACUGAAAAAUGCCAAGGAGUCUGACACGAGCAACAGACAACUGAGACAUGGCAAAAUAUAACAGCUGGGCCCGAGUGUACGUGCGAGUGGCCCAAGUAUUGCUGGGCCUCCUCUCUGCAUCCACAAGUCCACAAACCAAACAUGCUGAUGCUGCUGUGCUGCAGUCUUUACCAAGAACUGAAACAGCUGCUCCAUGGCAAAUCCCAGAUCAGCAGAAAUGCAAGAUAAAGGGCUUCUUUGGCAGGCUCGUGAGGGGCUCCUCGUGCGGAGCCGGAGCCGGAGCUGCGGAGUCACUUUUUUGGGUUCCGCCAUGCAGGCCUAAAACGGCUCCGGUUUCUCCCAAAUAUGCCAAAAAAACGGCUCCACGGUCGAUGCCGUUUGGUGCGGCUCCGACUCCUCCGUGCUUCGGUAAGCGCGCGGAGCCAGAGCCGGAGUCCUGCCAGGAGCCCAAAAAGACCCAUCCACUCAGCAAAAAAAGCAGGCAGGGGUCCCUGUGGAUCAGCAGCAUCUAACAGGUAAAUUUAGAUUAUCUCCAUCUUGCCAGCAUCUAUCCACGGGACCGUGGCAGGCAGGAAUAGCAAGGAAAGGGAGCGGCCGGAUAACCAAAAACAACACAUGCUGACACCCCCGUAGCCCCCACCAUCACCAGAAACGGCGCCCGCACAGGCCAGAGAUCGCCGGACGCGAUUGAAAAGCGGAUGCACUGAAGACGCAGAUGUGCAAUGCCGACAUGGCAGGCGUAAUAGCUUUAUAUCGCGGGGCAGAAAAAGUGCCUUCCCAAAUCUCUCCUGCUUUUCAAUCCGGUCCAUGAGACUCUACGCACACGCACUCCUUGAUUUCUUUUAGCAUACAACUUGACUUGAUGGUUUUAUCGCUUUGCCUGACAUGGCAUUGCCAUGAGGCAUCUAUUCCAUCGCAUCGUCUACCGUCGUCUCCAACACUCUCGUUACCUCGCCAGAAGCUCCAUUCUACCACACGAUCAGAUAAUCUAUCUAGAAACUGGAUGAUCUCGCUUGCUUUACGCUUAUAUUGUUUCGUGCUCGAAGCGCAUUUGCCUUCCUGUUCCUCCAGUCAUGUCGAGAUCAAUCUGGCACGGCGUAGACUCCACCUCAGCAGCACUUAGGCAUUGCCGCAUUGACUACAGGUCUUCAGCCCCGUUGCGUUAGAGGCCACGUGAAACAGUAUUAACCUAGUACGUAGGGGCCAAAGCAUCCUCUUUUCAGCACCCUCUUUUGACGACGAUCUGAUCUGAUCCGUUUAUACUUUGCCCCAGCCAUGCGUCCAAGAACACAGGAGUUAGCAUCGUUAGCAGCAGCAUGGACUCCUAUUUGGAGGUUUCCUUUUGGGGCCAUUUCUCCUCGUCGACAAGCAAAGGAUCCCACUGUGCUUAGUCCGGGGUGACAGGUUCUGAGAAGACACAAAACGGGCCAAAUGCAGAGGAGAUAGGUAGGUUGGGGGUACGCAGGGCUGGGACCCUGCUCGUCGCCAAUCGCCAUGGUUGACGCUUGACUGGAGCUUUGGCAAUGCCAAUGCAGUUCGAGAACAGUGGAGACUGACACACGAGAUAUCCCCUUUUUUUUGCCGUUCCCUCUUUUCCUUUUGUGAGACAGAGGAGAGACGAAGCCGGAAAGGUCCCAGCGGCGAAGCGGCAAAAGGAGAGGAGGGAUCGGAGAUAUACUAGUGCCUAAUCUCUUAUCCGAUAUGUUGAUCAUCUCGGGCGCUUUCCACGGCAGCAAAUUGUGUGCCGAGGUUGGUGCGCCCGUCGUCGCUUUUGCUUCCUCCUGAAGACAAAGGGAAUCGACCAGAGCCUCCAGGGCCAGGGGAGAAGGAGCAGAGGAAAUGGGGAUUAUGUUUUGCAGCGGACAAUGCGUACAGGCAGGUCAGCUCUUAGUUUGUCAGGCUGCCGGACGAACAAAGGUUCAGCUUAACAUUGCAAAUGCAAUGCGUGCAUUGCAGCAAGUCAGUUCUUGCUAUGUUUGACGCAUUUAGGCAGGUUGUUGAAUGUUUUAUCAUUAUUAGGCUUGCACUCAGGCGUAUUUUUCACAUUCUGGCAAAGCGUUGAUUCCAGCUUGACUGGCCGAGUGAUGCCAGAGCGACUUCUGAAUCGGAAUUUGCAUGCUUAUACAUAAGACGGACAUAAGAUUUAUUUAGGGCCUCUUAUAUCUGAAAUAUGGAGAUUCCCACGAAUCGGUUCAAGUUGCAAAAUGUGAUAGCAUUUCUCAUUCCAAACCAGGCCUCACGAUACUAAAUACUGAAUUUGUAACUGCACAGGUCUACAGACUGAAGUGGGGAACAUAUCAUUUUCAAGUGAAAAGGCAAGAACAGCACCUGUUGAAAUAUCUCGAAAACGAGCUUUAACGCAUGUCUCUGAACGGUGGAAAGAGCUCCACCCGGUAGCUGUCCCGCUAGAGCGAUCUCGGAGCGUUACCGCCGCUGCUCUGAGGAGACCGGAUCGAAUGCAGAGACUGUUCGACGAAUCUUUUGACACUGUUCCAGAAAAAAGCAGCAACCCUCGACGAUCCAACGUUGCACCAACGCCAUCGGUGCUGACUCGUGCUACGUCCUUCCUGAAAACGAUGCUCACUACCACGGUAGAUGGUACCGUACCGUGUCCCCCGCAGCCGACACGCUCCACGCCAACCACGUUGCCAUCCGUGUACCUGUCGUCCUGUUGCGCUAUCAGGACAAGCAGCCCCGCAGCCAUAGGACCGGCCGACGCUCAGGGCGGCACUGACCGGAUUGGAAGUUCAGAGGAGGCUCGUCCAAACAAACUGGAGCGGAACACGCCGGCCUUGUUGUGAACUGAAGCUCCUACGAACCUGAAACCGUGACGCGUGAGACACUGAGACGUGACCAAAGAUCAAAUCUCUGCGGCGGGAACGGAGGCCUGGCGUCACUCGCGUGCCUUGCAGACGGAUCAUGUCGGGCCGAAUCCGCCAUGGACAUUUGCGUCCCAAACAGACGCACGAACGCCGCGCAGGCCAACGCCACGGCGAAAGCAAGGCGACCGCCACGCCCGAACGGAGCCAAGCAGCAGACGCCAGACGGAGCCCGCGAGGUGAGGUCACCACGCUGAUCGCGAGUGCUCACCCGCCUGUCCACCAACACCGGACGGACGGACCGCGCGGAGGGAGGAGGACUCAUCAGUAUGGCACCGAGAAAACAAAGGAUCGGUAGCGCGGCAAAACGAAAUCCAACGCCAUGCGGCUUCGUUUCUGGGAGGUCUUUCUAUCAUUCUAUUGGGAGGGUGAUAAUAAUAGAUUUUUGUUCGCUUCAUUUCUGGCUGACUAAAAUUCAGUGCUGUCGGACUAGUUUUUUUUUUUUUGAAUUACAUGAAACAGUUAUUUGAAGUCUAAUAUAUACCGACUGUAACUCCAACAAGAACUAACUAUGAAAAUUCGUUUGCCUCGCCCUUACAUUACAUGCAAGCAAUGCUAAAAGGGAAAAAGAAAAAGGAACAAAAAGAAGUGUGCAAUGCAAUGCACCCGAAAAAGCCGGUCUUGCGAUAGCUUAUCCGUCGUUUAUCACGUUACAUGCAUGAACACUCUCGUAGCCGAGGCAUCAGUUUUGUUUCUCUCUCUCUCUCUGUUUCUUUUGAGGAAAAAUCGAGUGUGCAAUGCACCUGAAAAUCGUCCUAAAAAGUGAUAGAAUAAGUGCACGGGGGGGUAAAUAAAGUCGCUUAAAAUCCCCAAUCCUAUCUUUUGAGAGACCUCCGAUUAAUAUCUGUGCGCAUAUCAUUGCUCGCCAUGAGGAGGUAAAGGAACCGAGCAAAACGGAGGUCGGCGUGCCGGAGGCCGCUGACGUCAUCGUGAUCUAUAAAUGGGCAGGUGUGCGAUGGGGGUGAGCCUACACAAGCUAACCGACCCUCCCCUCUCCUCCCACAAGAGCCCGACCCACUCCGCACGGCACGCCCCCCGUGCUGGUGGUAGUGGCGCCAGCCACUUCCUUCCUCCUCCAGCUUCGCCCGCCUCCCUAACCACCGCUGCUCACCCCAUAUAGUUAGCUGAAACUGCCAUUUCAAGUACUUCCUGGUCACCCUUGCCAUAAUUGAUCAGCCUCCUGUUCCUGCUUGGCACCUACAUUUAAAAUUGCUGGAGCGGUUCGAUUUCGUAGCAGAUCACCAGUGUCCGAUGGCUUCUUUGGUCAGCUCGUCGGCUUCAGUUAUUGCUCUGUCGCUCGUGACCCUGUCAUUCUUUCAAGGUAUUGGGCUACUGGCAAUGGUGAAUCUUUGGUUUCUUGUUGAGUUUUGAGCUUCCUACGUAUUGCAUCAAUCCAUGAUGGUUUCUUUACGGAUAUGGUUUGUUGCGCGUGAAACAACAGGGGCGGUGGCCGGGGUGACGUUCACGUUCACGAACCGGUGCGGCGGCACGGUGUGGCCGGGGGUGCUGGCCAACUCGGGCAGCUCCCCGCUGCAGACGACGGGGUUCGCGCUGGGCGCCGGCGAGACGCGGUCCCUGACGGCGCCGGCUGGGUGGUCGGGCCGUUUCUGGGCGCGCACGGGGUGCGCCUUCGACGCGUCCGGCAAGGGGUCGUGCGCGACGGGGGACUGCGGGUCGGGCGAGGUGGAGUGCCACGGCGAGGGCGCGGCGCCGCCGGCGACGCUGGCGGAGUUCACGCUGGGCGGCAGCGGGGGCAAGGACUACUACGACGUGAGCCUGGUGGACGGGUACAACCUGCCCAUGGUGGUGGAGGCGGCGGCGCCCGGGUGCCCCGUGACGGGGUGCCUGGUGGACCUCAACGAGCAGUGCCCCGCGGAGCUGCGCGCAGGGCAGGGGCAGGCGCGGGCGUGCCGCAGCGCGUGCGAGGCGUUCGGGAGCCCCGAGUACUGCUGCAGCGGCCAGUUCGGGAACCCGGACACGUGCAGGCCAUCGGUGUACUCGCAGGUGUUCAAGGCGGCGUGCCCGCGGUCAUACAGCUACGCCUACGACGAUGCCACCUCCACCUUCACCUGCACCGGCACCGACUACUCCAUCACCUUCUGCCCGCCGCGCGCCGGGACGCCCAGCAGGUAAAAGAGUUCUUGCUUGGUCCAACAAAUCCUAGCCCUCUUCUGAUUGAAAAACCAAACACUGCCACCAGAUGCAACGCAACAACAGUUUGGGUGUUUUCUUCUGCAUUGGGGAUUUUUUUUCUCUUUUGGAACAAAUUUUUACACUGGGGGUAGGUAUGGCGUGGUAGAAGCUCGCGGUUGACACUGACGGACGUAAUGGCCGGAGAAUAUCAUACGGGCAUCUCCCGGAUUGCUUAGAAAAUGCAUUUUUUUGGCAAAAGAAGCAUCGAACUGGGACGGAGAAAGGAGGCGCUUUAAAUUGUUCGCCUCGCUUCUUUUGGCGCCACCGCCUUUGUUCCUUCCCCACCUUGUAUGGUCACCAGUCCCCUCGCUAGUGGCGGUUGAGUUAAAAGCUGCCCGUGCCUGGUUGGCAGAGCAACCCAUGGACACCCGAGAAGAGCUUGGAAUCUCACACCCUCACAGUUCAUUGACCGAUCUUUGUUUAUGAGAAAUUGAGAAUGCUCAAUGUUGUAUGGUCUAAUCGUUCUGAUCAGAGCCAUGGUGGUGACAUUUCUGCAGCCAAAAGGCGACCAAGGAUCCCUCGCCGAGGCCCAACGACGUGCAGCUCCAGGGAGACUCGUGGCUGGCGAGCCUGGCGACCGGCGAGAUGGACGGCGCGACGUCGACGGCGGUGGCGUCGUUGCGGCUCCCGGCCGCAUUAGCAGCGGCCGCAGUCGUUGCAUUGCUUGUAUGACCGAAUUGGCUGCCAGCCCUUGCGUGGCGAGAAGGCGGCUCCUCAUCGUCAGCGGGAGCGGCCGGAAUUGCUUUGGGAAUUCAAUACAGGAUUGGAGCAUGUAGGAUGAGGACGUGAAGCAUAUUCUUUUUAGCCUUUUGUCUUGUGGAUAGAGGGGUUGACAAGGUGGCAACUACACCUUCUAGUGCUACUGCAAUUGUGUCUGUCAACAAACACGCCCUGCAUUAGUUUAUUUUCGAUCUCUUAAGCAACACAUGUCACCCAGUUCCCCUUUUUUUGUAUAUAUACAUUGUUUCUUUAUUUCCGUCUCCUUUUUUUUUCUCUUCUUGUCACAUGCAGUAGUCUAAGUAGAAUAGUACAGUAAGAUUUAGCCCAUCUUCUCGUCCUGUCUUGAUGCGUUUUACCUUUUUGUUGAAAGUUUGAGAUAUGAAUGACAGCAACUCCUUUGACCUUCCUUGACAUUUGUUCUCGGCUUCUCGCUCACUUCUUAUGCUUUCCAACACUGAUAGUUUGAGAUGUGAAUGCAACCAGGAUUUUUCAUGUUUUUAAACAAAGAUAGAAUCUUUGGAAAGGAAUGGGAUUUGAUUGAUACUGUUAGUAGAGUGAUCACCACAAUUCAUUCAGACAUGGUGAGUCAGCUAAAAAGAAAACGGGGGUGCAGAUCUUAAUUUCAAAGGAUUCGGAUGGCCCACGGAGAUAUGAUUAUCAUAAGGAAAAAAGGUGAAUAAUCACAUGUUCAUAAACCUCAAAGAAACUAGAGAUGGCCCAAUAGUAAGUAGUAACCAUGUUUUGACAGAAAACUGACAAAAUAAGGUAAAAUUCAGUCAAAACAGUUAGACCUAGACCUCAUUAGAAGCCUACAACAUACUAAAUGGAUUUUGCAUGAAUAGAGAAAUAUCAAAGAAAGGACAACGUAAGCUAAAAGAAUAUGUAAAACACUACGACAAAGUUACUGAAAUGUAACAAGUUAAGCAAAAGGAGAACCUGGCAGAGUCAUCUUGAAAGCUCAUGGACCUUGUAUUAACCACGAAAAAUUCUUUUGGAUAAAGUCUUUGCUAGAGCAUUUGAGCUGAUGCCUGUCGAAUUCAUUUCCAUGCUCCAAUUAAAUCUUGAGAAGAAACAAAAAGAAGAACAGAUAGUUAGAAUGUCAACAGAAUCAUAGUGUCAGUAAGAGCACUUGUUUAUGUUCUUUUUCCAUCUCAAGAGCAUAAGUGCUAAUAUGUUCUUUUAGACUACUUUUUGGGUAAAAUGGACGAUCUGUACAUGUUGGAUCAUAUGCUAAGUCUAUGGAAUAUUAAUGCGCUUAAUAAUUCCGACCCCUAAAAAUACUGAACUAAGUUUGGGUAUUGAAGAUUGAAAUAUUAUAGGGUUAAAAAAAGGCACAUAUGUCUAACAUUGUCAAAUGCAGAUAGACGUCCCUUCAUAGUCAGUGCAAGUAUUACUGAAUGCCAUUCUAUCUCAUAACUUUGGCGAAAGCAACUUUCACAACAGAAUAGGUGAUACUGACAUCCGUUCUAAAAGUAUCAACAGCACAAGCCUAGCUGUCUCCUGCAUUUUUUCCUAAUGUCCAUUCAGCACAGUUAAAAAGGCCGAUGGAGUCAAUCAUAGACGCAGUAUUGUUGGUCCCUGAAAAUAUUUUGAUCCUUUCUUUUAAGGAACCUCAGCUCGGCAUGUUGAUGCCUGAAUCGAAUCUCCUUACAAACAACAUUGCAUCUUCAGCUACAAUGCGCUUGCGGGCAUCUUUCACUUUUCUCACUUUUGCAGUCCUGUCAGGCAAAAACCCACCUGUUUUGAUUCCAUGUACAUCUUUACAGUGAACGACUAAUGGAAUUUCUCCAAAAUAUCAAACUAGGAGGAAUAUGCCCUGUGAUGUUACAGUAGAUGACACCUGGCUUCUUCCUGUUGGAAAUAUCUAGUUGUGCAACAAUUAGUCAAGAAUGUCACAAGUAUGGUGUAUUAACGAUAUGAAAUAGUGACGUGGUAAGAUAUUUUUGCAAUGUUUUCUCACCUUUUGCAAAAGAAAACCUGAGAUUUGUACAGGUGUCCUUGUACUGUUAUACAUCAGAUUCGUCAUGAAGCUAAGAUCAGCAAGAGCAUUAGCUAUUCAGCAUGUUGAAGACUGAAGAGAACCAGCACCAAUCCCUUAUGCACGUAAUAUUAGAGUCUUCAGGUCCCUCAAUUGCUCAUGUAGAAUCACGUUUGCGAGUAUGAGAAAGGACUGUAUAUUCACAAACUUGUCAUUUUCUAUUUUCGACAGACUCUAACCUUGGUGUUAAAUCAGUUGAAAGUAUCUCCAAGGAAAUUUCAAAUGUAUGCUGUUUCAACAUGAGCUUUAUGGUGAGGUGCCAUUGAUGUGCCCUCUCUGGAAUAAAGUGAACCAAAGGUGAUUGUGAAUGUGAAUAUAUUUUUUGGAUUGCAGGUUAACGACCAAUUGUGAGCCAUUAAAAAAUGUGGCCAAUUUUGAUGGGGACAUGAUAAUGAUAUUAACAACCAUGGACCACACUAAAAGUUAUGCCCUUCCUCAUAUUAGCAUCAGCUCAAACAAAUUGUGUAAAAAAUCAACACCACACAUUCGGAGCAAUAUGUCAUGUUAGUUUCAACCUGGAUAUUCCAGAUGUAAACAAAUUGUGUACUGAGAUCAAAUGCAGCCCAGCAAAUCAUUGAAUUUGGUAGUUUCAUAAGGAAAUAGUUGACUAAGAAGGACAUAAACACAUAUUUAAGUAGUAACUACAUCUUAUUAAAAAGUGUUACCAAAGGAGAAGGGUUUUUUAAGCAUAAAAUGUUCCUGAAUCACUUGCUUCCGUUCAUCAAGAACAUCUGUCACCAACCUCAGACAACUGUUUGGUGCAUGAACAUGUAGUUUUAGAACUCAGAAGCAGUGCGUGAACUCUUCUAACCCACCUUAUAGGCUUAUUUAGAGCUGCUUAGGUAAUUCAGUGCACAGGUAAAGGUCAACAAGAGAAAGGAUCGGCAUAUAUAGUCAAGCUUGGUAUAAACUACGAAUGAAUCAAAUAGCUAAAAAAUUUGAAAAUCCACAAAUUAAUGAAAGUUACUUAAUUCAGGUGAUGAAAUUCAAAGAUGUAUAUGCACCAGAUUGAAUUGUACUAGAACAAGAACAGAAGACACAAUACAUACUGUAUGAUGCCCGAUUAAGGGGCACUAGUUCCCCACCACAGCUCGCCACCACUACAGUGACGCGCGCCACAGCAUAGUCAACUGCAGCGGGAGCAGAUGAUGUGGCGCCCAUUUUUGCCGCCACAACCUGUGGCGCACCACACUGUCACGUGAUGUGGCUUGGCUGGGAACCAAGUACGCUGUCAGCGUCAAAAGAACGGGAUCCUCCGUGCAGACGAUUCGUGCAGACGCUGACCACCACGUCAUUCGGAAGGGGAGGGUAUGGAAUGGACCACCUAACUCCCAGACCCCGGGAGCUUGGAGCCCCCAGGGGACAGCGCGACGAAAGGAUUCCGGGGGUGAGUGGGUUGCCUUCGCUACGAAGGAAGAGCAUGGUAGUUUACGAGGCGGGUGGCGUUGAAUGACCCCUGUCAUACUAAGCAAGUCUCCCAUCUCUACCUUAUCCUGACAUAUGGGCACAUGCGUCCUAAGGUGAAGACCACCGGCCAUUAUCAAAGAAGCAAACAUGCAUGCAUGCACCCCUACGGUGGCCAAGAUGCUUUAGGAUAAUGAUGGCAUGCAACAUGCAUGCAUGACAAGACAGUACAAAAACAACUCCUCAACGGCAAUACAUGCAUGAAACCCGUGUGGUCCUAAAGACAAGAUGUAUCAUAAAGGGGUGGCAGCCAUGUGCUCCCCCCCUCUCUUCUCUCUCCACCCACUUGCUCUUUUCACCCAAUGUGGAGCAUGUGGUCCACGAUGAAGACUCAAAGAUAAGGGGAUGCAUGCAUACAUGCAAUAAAGAAAGAGUGCGCACGGCAUGUCGACACCCGUCAACUGUGGGGGUCAGGUUUCUUUAUUUUCCUCUGUGCUUCCCAGUGUGUGAUCACUCUUCGAGUAUAAAAGAGAAGACCCAGGGCAGGGAUAGGGGGGCUUCUUCCUCCCUCAGAUUCUAGAUCUCAAGAACAAGCUUUCCCCAUGUAUUCUCGAAUUCACACUCUACAACAAAAAUACACAAACAAGCAGGAUAUAGAGUUAUUAUCCUUCGGGAGGCCUGAACCUAGGUAAAAAUUUCUCGGUGCUCACCACAGGUGCUGUUCUAGGAAUUCAGAGCGUUCAGCCCCUGACCGAAUCUAAAAAAGGUUCCCUCGGAACCUUGCUCCGGUGUUUACACGCCGUCACACGACCUAAGACAAUAUGCUCUCCAAAAGAGCUUUCGUGGAACAAGUUCUGCAGUCUACACUAAACGAGAGCAUGCAUAUCUAUUCAGCCAAGCAGACAAGAAUCUCAAGUUUAGUUAGUCAACUAUCAAGGCGUAUAAUCCACUUCUGUCAGGCUAUUUGCCUUACCAAUCUACCACCGUGCCAACUGCAGCCGAUGUUUGCCUCGAUGCCCCAAGGGACAAUGGCAGGGCCACCGCGCACCUUGUGUUUAGCCAAUGCGAUUGGAGCAGGACAAAAUACAAAAGGCAUAUCGUACUCAGCAGCCGCCACCGGCGGGCGCGAGACAAUUAUGUACAUGUCGCCUUUCAUAUAUUCUGUCCACCGCGUGCGCGUAUAGAUUAGUGGGCUAUUUUCAACCCAAUAAUUAGCGCAUGAAGGAGUAUGUGCCCACUUAAUUAAUCACGUGGUGGUGAAAAGCCUCCCCGAAUGCAUGCAACAAUUAGUGAAAAGAGCAUGCAAAAAAGAUAAAAAGGAUGACCUGACCUGUAUGCAUACCAAUCUAAAAACUAAAAAAAGUCAUAACCCCUAAAUCGAACGCCCAAAUUAAAUUUAGCUACACUGUUAUGUUUAUUACGACGAGAUCUUCAAAAUAAGACCCCACUUCACUAUGUUUAGAUAAUAUUUUUUAAAAAUAUGUUUAACAUACGGAUUAAUUAGUUCUAACUGAUGCGAACAAAUACUUGGACACCACGGACAAAUUACUAUUUUCUGUGAACAAAAAAAUUAAACAUGACGAACAAUAAAGGUUAUGAUGCGAACAAAAAUGUUGAACAUCACGAACAUUUGAGGAGUGCAGUGGUAGCUCUUGAAUGUCCCACCUAGUAGGUCGUGAGUUUGAAUCUAAUCUCCUGCACUAUUUUGCGCUAUUUUUAUCAAAUUUAACUGUGUAUUGUGCCUGUUAAGGGAAAGGGACAAAUCAGUCUUCUAUACACGUCGAACAAGGAAAAAAACAAAUCAGUCUUCUAUACACGUCGAACAAAUUAUAUGAACCUAUAGAACAAAUCAACUAUACACAUUGAACAAAUUAUACGAAUUUACACAGGAAAAAAAGUUGUGCGCAUCGAACAAAUUGCAUGAACUCAUAGAAUAAAAAAUACACAUAAACAAAAUAAUUUAGUAUCAAAGGAAAAUUAAAGGAUAAAAUAAUAUGAAAUAGAUAUAUUGUAAUCACUAAUGAUAAAUUAAAAAAGGAAAAAAAGAAGAGAAAAAAUAAUCAAUAAUAAUAAGUAAACAAAAGGAUAACACAAAAUAGGAAAUUAACUAAUAAAAAGGAAAACGAAAUAAAAGAGAAAAAAAAUAAAAAGGAAUGAGAAAAUAGUUGUAACCGCAAAAUGGUAAAGAAAAGAAAAGAAGAAGAGAGAAGGAAAAAAAAGAAAGGAAAAGAGAACACGAAAAAAGAAGAAGGGAUGAAAAUAAAUAAAUAAGUUAGAAGAAAGAAAAAAUAAAAAAUAAAAGAAUGGAUAAAGAAAAUAAAACAAAGAGACAAGAAAAUGAAAACAAAAACAAAGAAAAUAAAAUAAAGAAAAACGAAACCGAAAAAGGAGAAAAGACAAAAGGAAAACAUAGUAUUAAAAAGGUCUGUAGUUCAACUAAAUCACAAAAGCAUUGAGUAGUGCAGUGGUAGCCCAAUACUGGUCCUCCAAGCACGUCUCAAGUUUGAACCCCAUCUCAGUUACUAUUUUUGCGGCCUGUGCUUUCAGACAGCGUGCAAAACUGCAGCAUGCGUGUGUUUGGUUUGAGGGUCGAAUUGGGUUGGAACGGUUCGAUCCUAUGGACCCCCAUUUGGUUGAAAAUACAUCUGGGAAACGAGCGGAUGCACUCGACCCACAUCAACAUCAUGACUCUCCGUUCAUGCGUGCAGGCGAGUUGGCAUGGGGAAGGCAGGGAGGGGGCGACGGCCGGCGCGUGGAAGAGGCAGGGGCGGCGAGCGGACGGCGUCGGCGGCUUGGAGGAGCGGGCCGGCGCGGGGAGAGAGAAGAGCAGAACAGGCCGGCGCAAGGAGCGGCCCGGCGCGGUGCACAGGUGGCGCUCAACCGCGGUGCCCCCGGUAGCCUGCAGGUGGAGGAGUGGCCGCGGCCGGCGAUGAGCUUAGCGCUGCGAUGGGGAUCCAGGCAGCAGCGAGGCUGCGGUGGCGAGCCGACGGGCGGAGGUGCGACGCACGACCGACGGUGAGCAAGUUCGGGCGGAGCUGCAGGUGGACGGCGCGGCUGCGUGCAAGGGCGCGGCCACAGUCGGCGAGGCCCGAUGGUGGGGCUGUGGGCGGAGGGGCAGCGGCCCAGGGGUCCUCCAUGGUCGGGGGGAAGAGGGGCCGUGGCUCGGGAAUCCGACCAAAUUGGUCCACGCGAGCUCAGGGGUGAUCGGCGGUGGCAUGGUAGGUUGAUUUCUUCUAGUGGAUGGCCGGCGUGCUCGGGGGAGUGGCGUCGGAGGAAGACCGGGCGGCGCUCAGUCUGCGUACCCGACGCGAAGAUGUGGCACGGGAAGGGGCGAGUGGAGGAAGGAUCAAGAAGAUAAGGUGAGGUAAAAAAAUAGAGGAUGGAAGAUGGGUCCCGCAGCUGAUAGGAGGGAUCGUUGCUAACGAUGUUAAAUAGCAUCCAUCAUAUCCCUCUCAACUUCUUCAAUCUACGAACAUAUCCUUCUCAUCCAAACAACGAGAUAGGUGGAACCUCACCUAGAAAAAUAUGAUAGCCCAACUCGAUCCACUCCAUCCCCGCUGCCACGGGCACCGCCGUCCGAUGAUGAUUAUGCUCGUAUGGCCCAUUGCCGUGUUUUCUAGGGGCCUUGUCCACGUAGCUUGGUGGUUUUGGGGCCUUAACAGCUGUGACGUCUCGCGUAAUGGGCCUAGCGCGUGGCCGGAGCUCUUCUUCGGGCCUCCUUUGCGAUUAUGUGCACGAGUGCAAGGAGUGAGUUACCAGCAACUGUCCAGUAUACCACAGGUUCUGCGCUACGAUCAAACCAAUUUAUAUUACACCGUUGCGAUCAGGGUACAGUACACUUUUUACAAUACACAGCGCCACGAAAAUGAAGGAGAACCAACAAAAUUUUGUAGCUUUCUCCGUCAGUACUCCAGUAACACUACACUUCGCAAGCAGCACUCUUUACCAGCCAACAGUUCCACAGUUCCAUAUGGCAGUGCCAAGCAAUCGAAUCGAUCCAUCCAUCUUGUCCAA
rnacentral:lncRNA from 1 species